rnacentral:lncRNA from 1 species
CUGAGGAAUAAAUCUUUCUAGACAUAUAUAGUUUCUAAUUUUAUUCCUUGUUAAUUGAUAUCAGUUAAUUCAAAAACUUCGGGUCUUGUGUGGUUUCAAGACAGUUGUGACCUUUGUGCACUAAGGGCCCGUUUGGGAGUGUGGUGAGGUAGCUGGGUUGUCAAAGCCCAGCUACUAAAGUGUUUGGUAACACUUAUACCUGGGUUUUGACAAUUUAGCAGAUUUGUUUUCCCAGCUGCAAGUUUAAUUACUAAAUUAGCCUUAUAUAUUAUUCCAUUUUAAUUUUAUCAAACAGUCGUGUCAGUGGGAGUUCUAUUUCAAAUCAAUUUUUUUAAACAAACCCUAAACACCCAUUCUCAUCAGCACGAUUCCGACUGUGGGAGUUCCAAUUGAUGCGAUUCCGACACUGGCCACUCUCAUACGCCUCUGUCAGUGGUGCGUUUUCCUCUACCCGUUGUUCAUUUUUUAGUGCUCCUUUACUCUAUUGCAAGCAAUUUUUCAUUUUCUUCCUUUUCGUUCAUAAAAUGUUGGGGCUUUUGUUUAGAAUAAAUUGAUGGGUGAUGGGUCAUGUGUGAUUUAUUUGCUUGUAACCAUUGUUUUUAUCGUAGUUUUUAUUUUUGUAGUUGCUUUUUGUAGACAUGCACAGCCCCUGUUUGAUUUGAGUUUCUAGUUCUACAAAACAUUAAAUAAUAAAAUGCAUGCCUACGUUAUGAAAUACUAUGCUUCAGUAAACAAAGGGAAGUUUGUCAAAUUCCAGAUUUCAAGUUGAUGUUUUGGCACAGUCAAAAGAAGGGGGAAAGUGUUGCAAUUGCAAUUGUAUAGGUCUUAUCCAAUUUCUUUGGGAUGGGCCAAAAGAAUAGUACAGGAAAUAUCAAAGCACGUAGCAAAUUUGAGAUUGUGAGGCUAAAUGCAAUUGCAGUUUGUACCUAAUGAUUGUUUAGUUGAAUUUCUUUGUUUCCUAGUCUGGUUUGUCUUUUGUUGCUUUAUUGACUUUCUUGUAAUUGUUUCUAUUCGUGGGCUAUGAUCAUUAUUGUUUGCUGGAAAAGUAUUUCAAGUAAACUAAGUGUUUGAUUAAAAGUAUUUCAAGUAAAGUAACAACUAAAGUAACUUGUUCUGGUUUGUCUUUUUUUUUUAAAUUUUUUUAAUAUCGAAUUAUUUUUCCUUCCACCAUCCAUAACAAGAUUCUAGUAAUUUUAUUAACUUCUAUGUUCUUAUUUUUCCUGUAUUGUUGUUUGACAAAGAAAUAUUUUUUUUUCCUAGGUUUAAGUGUAUGAAAUUAUGUCUAAUAGCUCAACUAGUAAGGCUACCUGGAACCCCCAGACUUUAGAUGUAUUUUGUGACUUAUGCAUUAAAGAGGUGGAUGCCGGACAUCGUCCUGGGACUCAUUUGACUACCCAAGGAUAUGAAAAUUUGAUUAAGGAGGUCAUUAGAGAAACUGGAUUAGAUUACAACAGAACUCAAAUGAAAAAUAAAUGGGAUUCUUUUAGAACUGAUUGGAAAUUGUGGAAGAAUUUGAUUGGUAAGGAAGCUGGUUUAGGGUGGAAUCAUAGGUUGAGGACAAUUGAUGCAAGUGAGGAAUGGUGGGAAAAGAAAAUAAAGGAAAAUCUGCAAUUCAGUAGAUUUCGGAAAAAUGGUAUUGAUCCAGAGUUGGAGAAAAAAAUAAAUUUAAUGUUCAUGAACACUGUGGCUACUGGUGAGCAUGUUUGGGUUCCCUCAUCUGGUUUUCCUUUAGAGAGUAAUGACGCAUCUGAAUCUCUUUGUGUUGAGAGUACUGCUGACUCUGAUGAGUAUAUUGUGUCUGAUGAUAGUAAGGGAAGCAAAGGUAAAAGAGUGGCCUUAAAAGGGAACAAAGUAGGAGGUGCUGUAAAACUGUCAAGGCAGCUUGAUCGUCUCAUUGAUGCAGUAGAGAAAAGGAACACAACUUCAAACUCUCAAAAUGAUACAAGUGGGAAAGAGAUUUAUAAAGCAUUGGAAGUGGUUGCUUCUUUACCAAACAUUGAGGCUGGGAGUAAAGUGUGGUUAUUUGCUAGUCAGUUGUUUACGGACAAAGUGAAAAGGGAUUUAUUUAAUGAGAUAGAAGAUCCAAAUGUCAAAUUGAAAUGGCUUAAUUAUGAGAAAAAUACAAAGUGAAAAUGUAUUGUAUUUAUGAAACAAUAUUUUGUAAAUUAUGUUUAUGAAUGAAUACUUUUUAUUUUGUCACUGAUUACACUUUAUAUUACAUUUACAAUGUAUAUGAAUUGUUGCUAUUGAUUUAUUUGCUUGAGGCUUAUUUAUGGAAAUAUUUCUGGACUAUUUGCUUGAGGAAAAAUAAUAGCAUUGAAAUUAUUAUUAGUAUAUCUUCCAUAAUUAUGUCUUAACUUCUCAGCAAGCUCUGGCUCUUGGCGUAUAAUUUCCUUCACAAAAUCCACAUGCCCAAGCAUACAUAAUUAAUUUAUCCUGUUGAAGCACAUGAGCCAUUCUUUGUGAUUAAUUAAUUACAACUUAAUUACUUAAUUAUUUCUCUUGCAUAUGUAAUUGGUUGACUUUAUUCUGGCUGUAAUAAAUACCAUGAGUUGUAAGAAUCAUUAACCUUCUUAUAGGCCUCAUAUAUGCAUGAUCGUAUAGAUAAUGCUAAUAAACGUUCUUCAAAUUAAGUUCAUUAAUUUCAUAUUUCUGUCUUAUAUUUAUGCUUCCAAAUGGAUAAUUUUCUUGAGAACUUUCAACAUACUCAAUUAUUUCUUGUCCAAUAUUAUUCUAACAACUAAGAAGAAUAAGAAUAAAGGGACCCUUUAUUUAUGCUUUCAACCAAGAAGAAUAAAGGGACCCUUUAUGAAAAAAAAAUAAAAUUCUAAGAGCUAUAAAUCUUAUAUUUGGAGCAUUUAUGAAAAUAAUAAUAAUAAUAUUUUCAAGGGUCCCUUUAUGAUGCCGUAAUUUUUUUACGGUAUCAGUAGUGUGGGAAAUAUAUACCGUUAGAUCUAAUCAACAGUACAUAUUAUUUAUAUUAAUGAAAUUUUUUAAUUAUUUGAAAAUUAUGUUAAUUGGUUAACAAACCUGUAAAAUAGGUAAUUUUAAAUUUAAAAUGAAAAAGAAACAGAGAUAUAGUCAAAUACAAUCUCUCUUUAUCUCUCACGUUCAUGUUUUUAUAAUUGGAUUCUUUAAGAUUAUCUCUGUCUCCUUAUGAUUAGAUGAAAGAGAUUCAAUAAAUUUCUCUUAAUAAAUAUUUCAGUAGUUUUAAUCGUAUUUUCAAAUUGGAAUUUUUUAAUAACGUAACAGCUGUAUUUUUAUUGUAUUGUCAAUUUAUUGCCUUGAGUAUUUGCUGCCAUGGUUUAAGAUCUGUCCUACGCUGCUUAAAAUCAUUCUAUAACGUGCCUAAAGGCACCAGGCGGUUUAGAGGCUCGUGUGGUUCACAGAUUACCAACCAUAGAGAAAAAGUAAAUGGGGAGAGAACCAUGAGGCAAGGUGCACUCACUACUAAAAAAAUGACCUUUACUGACACUUAGUUUCUGACACUUUAUAAAAAGUAUCAGUAAUUAUGUACAUAUGCACCAUUUUCCGCUUUUAACAAACAAGUAUUAUAAAUUAUUGAUACUAACGUGAUUAUGUGAUUAUGCUAUUACAGUGCUAAAAAGAAUGCAGGAUUAAUUAAUCCGCAAGGCAACUAGGCAAGUGGAUAUGUAUCUGUUUGAUGAUAGAUUAGUUUUGAGAAAUUCAUUUAUCUUAUUUAAAAGAUUUUCUUAUUUUUCUUAGUUGUUAGAAUAACAGUGGUCAAGAAAUAACUGAGUAUGUUGAAAAUUCUCAAGAAAAUUAUCCAUUUUGGAAGCAUAAAUAUAGGACAGAAAUAUGAAAUUAAUGAACUUAAUUUGAAGAAAGUUUAUUAGCAUUAUCUAUACGAUCAUCUAUGAGGCCUAUAAGAAGGUUAAUGAUUCUUACAAUUCAUGGUAUUUAUUACAGCCAAAAAAAAGUCAACUAAUUACGUAUGCAAGAGAAAUAAUUAAGUAAUUAAGUUGUAAUUAAUUAAUCACAAAGAAUGGCUUAUUUGCUUUUUAGAUUGAAGCCCUUGUUGGGAAGUUCAAUUCACUUUAUCACAUAUGAUCAAAACCACAGUUUCUAGUGUCGUUUUUUUGGGGUUUUGUUGAUUACACGGAAAGUAACUAAUUACUACAGCUAAAGCAUGCAAAACAAUAUUAGAAGCAAAAUGAUUUUUGGAUCUGAAGGGGCAAUUAUUUUUUUUUCAAGUUUGUUAUAUGUUCUUUUGUGAAGACCUGAAGAUUCGAGAGUCAGAUUAAUAAUUUUGUCUCUCUUAGGCUUUAUGCGGUGAGAAUGAACUUUCUCUCUUUUAAUUCUCUGUCAUUUUCUCAAUGAAGGCAACAAGAGAAAAUUCAAUCUUUAAAAGUCUCAACAUUCAGAAUUUGGCCAGUCUAGUUGUCUACUUUGCAUCUGCUGGAGUAUAAUAUCGCCAAGAGAUUUUUCCAUUGCACUUUACGAAUUUAUAUUACUUUGAGGAGGGAAUUCAGCUGACUACUAAUAUCUUACAAUUGAAAUUUAAAUGUCGGUCUUUAAAUUCUAAAAAUUAAAGGCAAGCCCCAUAUGAAAAUAUAGAUGUUAAAAUCUUCAUUUUUGUUUAUUGAUACUUUAUUUGUUAGUAUCAUUAUUUUAUAGAUAUACUUGAUGUUACACGAUUGACUAAAUAUUAACAUUAAAAUGCAUAUGGAAAGAAAAGAUGAUGGAGGGCCCCAUAAAAGCAUAAAAACAAACGGAGAGGGUGAAGCAAACUUUCAAAAUUGCAACCAUGAGAAUUAAAAUAGUUUAAGUAAGGUUUUUUUAAAAUCAUAAAUAAUGUACAAAAGAAAACUUAAUGAAGGAUUAUUUGAACCCAAAUUCUCAUUUGAACCAGUAUUAAAAAAAUUUAUUAUUAAAUUGUCUCUAACAUAAGAUACUGUUAUGGACUUAAUAAUGCGUAUUUCAUCUUGAAGUCAUCUCUAAAUUUGCUUAAUGUAUACAGAAAAAAAAAUUGUUUCAUAGUUAUUAAUUUUUCUUCAACUCCUCUAGUUGAAAACAGAUCAAACUGAGUUGUUAAAUAUUGGAUUUGGUCAAAACUAUAUCACUAGUCAAGCUAUUCUAGAUUCAAACAAUCAAAUCUAUUUCAUUGAAUUCGAACUAUAUAAGAAAGAGGAAAGCCAUGCCAUUGAAAAAUAUUGUGCGCUUUAGUUUAGUUGUUUAAUUGAUUAUUGAUUACAACUAUAAUUUUAUUAUUACUUUAUUUUUUCAUGAUAUUAUAUAUGUUUUAUAGCGGUUUAAUGACAAUAAUGGGCAAAAAAAUUAAUUCCACUUAAUAAGUUGAGGGAUUUGGUUUUUGGGUAUGAACAGGUUACGGGUUGGAUAGAUAGAAGAAGAAGAAGGAGAAGAAGAAGAAUGGAAGAAAAAAGUUGCAGAAAAUCAUGAAUUAGUUUCAAAGGUAUAUUAGGUAUUAAGAUGGAUUUAUAAAGUAUAAUAUAAACUUUUAAAUUUUAACAAUGGUUUUAAUGAGUAAAGGAAUUUUGAAACUAAUCCGGUGGAUUUAAAAUGUACUCAUUAAAACUUAAUUAUUUUUUUUUGUUUUUUGAAAAGACUAAAACUUAAUUAUUUAAAAUUAAUAUAUUAGUGCAUAGAAUAAUGAAGCGAUCAAGGUAAUUUUUACAGCAUAAAUAAUCCUACUCUUUUAUGAAAUAGUAACUCUUGGAAUUGUCUGAUUAGAUUAUCAGAAGAUGUUUGCUUGUGGAUGCCAACUGACGUUACAAAGUGAUAAAUGGAUGAACGCACUGUUAACGGGAUAAUAAGUUGUAUAUGUAGGAUUAACGUGUGUGUAGAAGAAAUCUUGCGGUUAUAAUAGACUUGAAAGGUAUAGUCCGUGCACAUCUCACUAUUUGGUGCGUAUGAAUUUUAGCAAUUGAUAAACCGUGAAAUCAAUCAAAUCAUUACCGGCUAUGACUAACAUGAUCAGCCAUAAUUAUUUCUUGUCUCCAAAGAAUUAUUAGUAAACAGUAAAAGGAAGUCUUCAAUGUGAAGAAUUAUCUGUGAAUUCUUGUUCCUAAGUUCGAUCCAUUGUGUACGUGAGAUGAAACUAAAAAAUUAAAAAAGAAAGAAAUUAACAAUAAAGAAGAACGAUCAAGAAGAAGACGAAGAAUAAAAAAAAAAGGGAAUUAAGAAAUAAAGAAGACGAGGGGUGGAAAAUAGUAUUGAAUGAGAAAUGAGAAAUAUGAUUUUCCUUUUUUUAUUCUUAAUGUAAAUUUCACAGCAACAAUUAGAGCAACAUUCACGGAACAAUCUCUGUACCAAGUAAAGCCGACAAAUAUGGCCCUUGCUUUAGCCAUAGGGUUUCCUUCAUCCAGAUUAUGCCUUAAUUUUCUCUGAUUCCUCUAAGAAUUGAUUAAAGCAAUAAUGCAUGACAGAUAUAGUUUUCUCUGCUUAGUAGGGAUCAAUGCAUGCAUGAAAAAGUUGAGGACGAUAAACGACUAGUCGUUUUAACACCCAUACGAUGGUUUUAAGCUAAACUAUUCGACGAUUGUUCUGCUGCAACACAUGGGCCAAGAUGAAGAAUUUAUGGUAAAUUUAAGUUAUGUUGUAUUUGGAAUAUUUGGCGUCGAAUUUUUUCCUAAUUCCAGAUCCAUUUGCCCUUGUGACCAAAUCUAAUCUUGUUAGUUCUUUGAAGGGCUUGUUUUGGCAUCAUGAAUAAUUUUCUAAGAAAAUUUCAUCUCAGGUAUUAUAGUAUUGGGAGAUGGUUAAAAUAAAUAAUUUUAUCAGUGUAAGUAAUUGAAUACUAGUGAAUUCAAAUACAAAGUUUUUCAAUUAAAAGUAAAAAACGAAAUAAAUUAAAUCCUAUUACACCACUUUCGCAGGUAAUCACGGUUGCAUUUAGCGUAUGCAACAAGCCUUUAAACCCCUAGGCAGCCCUAGUGGACGAGUUUAGUCUCGUGAGGGUUUGUAGCGACGAUACCCACAAACAUCAUCAAUCCCUUUAAUAAUAUUUAUCUUAAUCUUCAUUACUACCAAAAUGAAUGCUCCGUCCUCUCACAAGGGCAACAUUAUCAGAAACCUCACCACAAUUAUCACAGAAGCAUUGUGCCAUUAUGCUCAUUGCCGAAACUUCAUCUAAGAAGGGCUUUUGACAAGCUACCUCAAAUUCUUUCAAUGUCCUCGUAGAACUUUCACUAGAGUUUGUCUCGUUCUGGUAGCAAUAGCUUGUGGUGAUAUAUUUAUCAAAAUCUUUCAUGAACGUUUUGGUAUGCUUGGCCUAAUAAAAUGAAAAAACAAAGAAAAAAAUGAAAUGAAUAUAUGCUUUAAAAAAUGAGUUAACUAAAUUAAAAUUUUUAAAGACUAAUAACUAAAUUAAAUUUUUUAAGACUAACCCUUCGCAAGCCUUCGCCGGUCUCAUCGUACUCCCCAACUAUCGGGUCGCCAAUGAUCAGACCACCAACAUUAUGAUCAUUUAUCUGCAUAUAAAAGUCGUUAGAGAAAUACAAUCCAUAAAUUUAUUUGCUUAAUAUAUUCUUUGUAAUUUUUUUUUUUAACAAAUUGAGCUACAAUUCAUGUUUCUUUUUAAAAUUAAAUUAACCAAAUAGUAUUUCUAAAUUUUAACACUCAAGUCCUGCUCAUUUUAAUUUUUUAUGUUAAUAUCAUUGUCCAUUAUUGAUCAUUAUGAAAAUUCUAAUAGAAUGUGGAAUUGUCAUUUUUACCCUUACAAAGAAACAACUGAAGGUUGAGGAUAUUUAAACCAUAAAAAUAUUCUUUGUACCACCUUUUAAUUAAAUAAUUUAUAUUAAAAAAUACUCAUUCAUUAAAUUAUUUUAUGGACGAAGAAUAAAUCUCUGUAAUUUACAACUAUUUAUUCUUUAUCCAUGCUAUCUUUCAUCUUGCACAAAAAUAACCAUUCGUAUAAACUAAAAAAGAAAAAUCCUUAGGAAAGGUGUAGUUCAAGAAUUUCUAGGGAAUAUGAAUGACAAGUUUAUAAAUAACAAAAUUUUAAGAGCUAUAAAUCUUAUAUUUGGAGCAUCUAUGAAAAAAUAACAACAUUUUCAAAUCAAACCACUAAUUAGACCAAAGGACCUAUGUUAGGAUUAUUGUUGAUGAAAAAAAAUCUGUUUCUGAAAUAUGAUGGUUUCAACCAAAAUUAUUUUAUUAGGUUUGAGUUUAUGACAAGUAGAAAUAAAAAAAAAAUGGAGGAUGAAGUUCAGGAGUGCUAAAUUGUUAUUUAGGAAUAAAGAAAGCAAAGGGACGAAGUUCGGUUUCCAUUUAGAUGAAGAUAUUAAUAUGCAAAUAAUAAAAUUUAAUUACAUAUAAUUUAAGAAGUAUGGGACAUGUUCAUUAAUAAUAUCAUUGAAAACAUUUAAUUUACGCAUCUACACAGUCACUUUGGUCAUAGUUUGUUAUUAUUGACAAAUUAAUAUAUUUUUGUCACAUAUUAUUUUUUUAUUGACAUAUUCAAAUAAUUUAUUUUAUAUUAAAGAGAUAUUAUGUUAUAAAAUUUUUGUUAUUAAAUCAUGUUAAUUUUUCAUGCAUUUUGGAAUUUGUACGUGAGAUUACAUUACUGCACAUACAAUGUCACUCAUUCUAAUAGUGAAAUUAGGUCGAUGGAUUCAAGUGUAAAAAUUUUUGAAACAAUCUGGACAUACAUGUUAAGAUUUAGAAACCUUUGACUCUUUUGAUUUUUCAGCAAACAUCAGGGAUGGCAAUGUUAGUAACCAUGCAAACACAUGCAUCUAAACCGUUAUGCAACUAUUUGGUUUGGUCUAAUGGUUAUAUCACUAAAUGAAAAACAAGGGGUACCUAACGUGGAUUACAAAAUAGUUGGACCUUAUAUAGAUGUUAAAUUAUUGUUUAUUUAUUUUGAAUAUCACUUUUACUACUUAUUCAUAGUUAUAAUAUUAUAAACUUACACGUUUUCUGAGUUGCUCCAGAUCCUGUGCUUUUGUAGUUUGUGUUAUAUGUCUGCGACAUUGAAAAAAAAUAGUGUUACACAAAUAAUUAAUUUAUAUUUUAUCUCUAACUAGUAUUUACUAUAAUGUGAAAAGCAAUUAUACCCCAAUGGUGUCAUUUCCACAUAAUUUUGCUCGAAGUUGGCUAGUGCAAGGCCGAUAUACUUAGAUCCAGGAUCAACAGCUAUAAUAUUUUUCUUAAGAGCUUUACAUUCUCUCAAAAGAUUCUUGGCAAUUUUGAGACUCAUUGAGGAUUUUAUUUUAAUUAACCAACAAAUUUUCUUUUUGCCAAACGAUUAUGCUUGUUUUGAUUUGUGCUCCUUAAAUUAGAUAGAUAAUCAUGUAUUUGAUCAUGUUUUUUUUUUAAAUAUAAAAGAAAAAAAUCAUUCAUUGUACAUGUAUUUGUGCUCCUUGAAUUAGGUAGAUAAUCAUGCAUCUGAUCAUGUUUUUUUUUCAAAAAUAUAAAAGAAAAAAAUUAUUUAUUGCACUUGUAUUUGUUUGAGGUUGAAUCACGACAUAAAACAUCUAUGCUAAUUUUUUUUUUUCAACAUCCAAUUAAAAUCCUGGUUCUGCCACUGAUUAGAAGACUUGGGUCAAUUUUAAAUUUUUGCUAGCAUGUGAGCGGAUUCAAGAGACAUUGUGAACUCAAGGAACAUCUCUAUUCAUUCCAUCAGCCCAUAAAUAUCACUAAUGACCCAAAAAACCUCAGUACGAGAGCUAGAGACACAAUUAAUAAGUUCAUGAGCCACUACACAAUUGGCUUGAUCAUCACCAGCAUGUUCUACCACUUUAUUAGAUCGGCCUGGAUUUGCUCUUGCCGUGCAAACAACAGAAUCCCAUCUAAAGUUAGAUUAAUUACAUCUUAUCCUUCAUUAAAAAAUAAAUAAAAUUACAUGUUAUCCUAGGUUGCAAUGUUAGAUUUCAUAAUUAAAGAAUAAUACUUUUAUAUUUGAAUUAUCUUUAUUUUCAAUUAUUUUUUAUAAUUAAUUUUUUAGAGUAUGUAUUCAUAGAAUAAGGUACUUUAUGUCCCAUUUUAUUUAAUAUACUUCUUUCUACUUAUGAAAUUUUAUGGUCAUAAUAAAAUAUUAAUUUUUAAUUUAGCCCAAGAUAAUAUAAAGCUUUGGGUCCGCCCUUGGUUAACUUAUUGACUAGCGACUAAAUAGACGAUGUUUGGGUUGCCUCUCCGAUGAUUGAAAUUUUUUUCUUUUUUUUUUGUGAAAAAAAGAAAAUACUCAAAUAGUUUUAUUUUUAAAUUAAAUUAAAGAAGUUGUUCUUACUGAAGUACAAGUUGUUCUUACUGAAGUACAAGACGCAGUUCCUACGAAAUAAAAUUAAAGAAUGAAGAAGAUAGAAAUUGUAAAAGCUAGCUGCAUACACAGCUUUUGGGCAUGUCUUAAAGGACAAAUUAAUCAAGCACGCCACCAAAUUGGAACGCAUUCGUGAUUCAUAAAAGUACAAACUCAUUAAUCAUUAAGACAUGAAGUAGUUGUAAUUAUUUAAUUGUAAUAACUUUAAUAAUUAUUUAAUUGUAAUAACUUUAAUUAUCAACUUCUAAAAUUUAUGGUAACGUUAUCAAUAAAAUUCCGAAGGAUGAAAAUUGUCAAUCAGUCUCAUUAAUAACGGCAACUUCUUGCUCAAUGUCACUCGCUUUCACUCUUAAUUUUGAAUAUUUAAGUAGUUUUCUUAUUAAUUAAAUUGAAUAAGUUGUGGUUUGUGUGUAAUCACUCGAGUUUCAGCAAUAAUGAGUAGGGUUAGUGUUGGUAUUUGCACAAAAUUGUUAUAACUACAAUUAUUAAUAGUUGAAGAACACCAAAUUUAUUUAUUGAGUAGUGUUACACAUCUCAAAAUUUUUAUCAUAAAUGAUAUGACAUUCAUCAAAUUGAUUGGUGAGAUAUUACAAUUAAUUUACUUAAAUUUGAUAAGAAAUUAUGAAAUUUAAUGAAUGACAUGUUAUUUAGAAUAAACUUUGAGAUAAUAGGAGUCUAUUACCACUCUUAUUUUUUUAGACUUGGCUAGGACUGAAAAAUGAUGUUGAAUCGUUAAUAGGAAAAUCAUUCAAGAAAACAUAGAACGACGAUGCAAGGUAGCAAGAAUAUUAAAAAAUAUGUUAGAGCCGGUUAGGGAUGGCAAUUGGCACCGCCCGCGGCGGGUUUGUCAUUAUCAAAGCCAAACCCACACAAAAUUUAAAUUACCAAACCCACCUGCAACCCAUAGCGGGUUUUAAUUUUUUUAAGAAAACCCACCCGCUAAGGAUUUUGACAAUUACCAAACCCGCAUUGGUAUCCGGCGGAUUUUUUGGGGAAUUUUUAUAUUUAAAAUCACAAAUGUUGAAUAUAUAAAUUUACAAUAAUAACCUCAAAUUCCACAUAACAUAUUCAAUUUUAAAUUUAACUAAUAUAAAUGAAAAAUUAAAAUUUCAACAUCAAUCCAACACAAAAUUUUAAAUUUUAAGUAUAAAAUACACAAAUCCAUUAAAAAAAACGACAAACUAAUAUCUAAAAAUAACAAUUACAUCUCAUAUUAUCAUUCAACACAAGCUCCAAGAAAGAUGUUCAUUUCAUUCACCAUCAUUAGCACCCAUCCAACAUGAUGCCUACAAUAAUGAUUAAGAUUAAUAUUUUCCAAAAAAUAAUAUUUUUCAAAUACUAAUCCGAAAAAACUUAUAUAAUGAACUAAUUCAUGCAUUAAGUUAAAGAAAAAUAGUCCAUACAAAAACAUUUUGGUUAUUUGGCACUUUGCAUUGUUAUACACACUACACUUGUUUAUACUUUGGUUAUUUGGCGCUUUGCAUAAUUGCAUUAUUUUCUUUAUAUAUUAAAUAUUUAAAUAUUUUUCAAUUAAAAAUAUUUAAAAAAUAUUGCGGGUCUAGCGGAUAUCCAUGUGGGUAUUCGCCGGAUAUUGGGCUAAUACCAAACCCACCCGCAUCCAAAUGCGGGUUUCAAUUUGUAAUACCAAACCCACCCGCAACCCACAAAAUUAUCCGAAGCAGACGGGUUUUGGCGGGUGGAUUUGGGCGGGUUUGUAGACACAAUUGCCAUCCCUAUAGCCAGUUAAAUGGAGAAAAAUUUUAAAUAGUUUUCAUAAAGCAUAUUUUUAUUUUUUUAUUGAGCAUAAAAAUUGCAUUAAUCUCAUGACAAAAGAGUAUAAAGUUCUACUAAAACAUUUUCCAGCCGAACUACAACACUAGUCGUCGAGGCGGAACUACAUUCACGCCUAGCAAGGGUUGCCAAGGUUUCAAAAUUUAUUUUUAAAAAAUAAUGUGAAAACUAAAAAGUUUUCAAAAUGAUCCCCAAUAUAUGUUUCAAGGCAACUCUCAAUUUUCUUCAUAUUUUCGCAACCCCUAAAUUAAAAUCUUAAUUCCACCACCGACUAGACGACUUUUGCAAAUUCUGCUAGCUUUUGAGUUGAUACUUUGCAAUUUCAAGAGACAGGUUGAACUCAAAAAGCACUCAUUCGUUCCAUCAGCAGAUGAAUAUCACUAAUGACCUAAACAAACCUCAAUACGAAAACCUUCAAUCAGCCACUACACAAUUGCGCUACUACAGUCAUUGAAUUCACAUGGCAACAACAUCCAUGGUUGUGCACGUUUUAGCUAGCGUCUUUAAUGCGCGCUCAAAUUUAAGUUGGCAAAAAUACAUGAUUUUUCUCUAAGCUCUGAUUUUAAUCUUGUGGGAAGGAGAUGAAUGAAAUACUAAUUUUUUUUUUAAAGGGUGAAAGACCAAAAAAGAAAAAAGCAGUACUUGAAAAUUAUAAGCUCAAAAGUUGUUUAACUAGCAAUUCAUUCAUUUAUUUUUUUAGAAGGAAUAAUUCAUGAGUUUUCAAGUCAGCUUUAACGACAAUGAGAUGUGAAAAUAAUUGUUGCAUCUUUAGAAAGUAGUCCUCUUAUAAGAAUGCACACAUCCUUUUAAAGUACAGACGUUCAGAUUUUAUAAGCUCAUAUUACAAUAUAUUUAUGUAAUAUUCAGAAGUUUCAUCGAGAGUUUUUAAGUUACAUUUCACUCUUACCCCUCCUCAUCAUCAAAUUAAAUGUAUACCCUUAGAAUUGCACUCGUGACUUCUUGCUUCCAUUGCAAUGGUUAAGCCAACUAUAUUCGGGAUUUAAAUUUACGUGAUUAUAAUACAUUCUCGAAAUGUAGCGAGACUAAAAUGAUAAUCUAAGCCUGUUAAACUAAAACCAAAACAAAUGGUUGAUCGUGAUUUCUUUUUCAUUAGAUUUUAAUACUAAUGUAUGCAUGGUGUAAUGUUUAGACAAAAUAGAUGGGCGCUUAGUGUUAUUUACUUAAUUUGAUAUCUAAUUUUGAGAACCACAUUGGACUGGUCCCGUUGGAUCUGACUGUCCAUGUAGUCUAUUUUGGUCUAAAUAGGGAUCAAACUUUGAUUGAACUUUGGACUCAAAUGUGGAAUCAGUUAGGGGUGGGCAUGAGUUGGUUUGGGUUAGAUUUUAAAACAAUCCGAACUAAAUUAUAAAAAUUUGGGCCUGACCUAAACCAACCCAAAUAUUUUUAACCGAGCCUAAAUAAUUCAUUUGGGUUUUGUUUGAAUUUUAUAAUCAAAAUAUUUUUUACUUUGAUAAAUUUAAUUAUAUCAAAAUUAUAAUAAUUAUUAAUUUUAUUAAUUAUUACAUUACUAUUAAAAUAUGAAAAAAUAUAGUGGAUAAAAAAUUAUAAAUAAUAGAUUUUACAAUAACUUUAUCCUUAAAUUAAAGAAUAUUAGAAAAUUAAAAUAAAAUUUAAUUACAAAAAUCAUUAUUUCUCAAUAAAUGAGAACGUAAACUUUAACAAUAAACUUUCACAAACAUGAUAUCAAUAAGUAAAUUAAAAGAAAGAAAAUAAAAAUUAGUGGUAUUAACCAUAUUAAAACACAAAUUCAAACAAUGUCAAUACAAAUCAAAACAAGAUAAGACAUCCCAACUCAGAUAUCAAAGCAAUCCAUUAUAAUCAUUUCUAUCCACAGUACUUUAAUUAAAAUAACAACCACAAGCUAUACAUGUAAAGAUAGUUGUAUUAAGGCUCCGUUUGAUACAACUUUUCAAGUAGAGAUUUUGAUAGUAGAGCUUUUACAAAUAGAGCUUUUACUUAAAAAAAUUUAGAUGUUUGGUUGUCAAUAAGAGCUUUUAUUAAAAAUUUAUAAAAUUUUUAAGUUAUGUUAUGAAAAUAAUGUCAAAUAAGUAAAGAAUAUUUUAGAUAUUUUAAUAUUUAAAAAAAACUUUUCAACCUCUACUCUCAAAAGCUCAAAAUUUGAGAUUUUGUUAGUAGAGGCAAAAUAGCUUAUUUAAACUCUAAAAAUUCUAUAAAAAAAAAACCAAAUAAAAACAAAAAUUAUGAUAAGAGCUUAUGGAAUUAAAUAAGCACUUAUGAACAUUACAUAAGCCAUACCAAAUAAACACUAAAUAAAUAAAAUAAAAGAGUAAAUGAAUAGAAUAUUUCAUGUAACUGAGCAAUCUCGAGCUGUUUACGAAUAUAUGUGGAAAGUGUCCUAAGUUUAAUAUAUAAAAUGGUUCUGAAUAAAGAGAAUUUGAAAGACGAAUUGAAAGAGCGAGCAGGCACUAAGAUUUCCUCAUUUCAAUCUCAUUCAGGUAUAUUUGAUUAGUAAAGUGAAAGACCCCGAGUCCGAGUCCGAGUCCGAGUCCGAGUGUCCAACUAGAAAAUUCAUUAAAUACGCACCUUCUAACCGACUCAAUCCCACCACAAGGGACCCACAAAACCCACCCAACCAAACAAAACUGCCUUUUAAGUCUCAUUAAGUCUCUGUUCUGUUUUGGUCAAUCGAAUUCCUCUGUCCUUUCUGCGCAACAAAAUCACAAACGAUGUUGCGCCAUGCCUCUAACCUCGCCUCCAAAGUCAGGUGCACUUCUCCUUCACAGUUUACCAAAUUUUUAUUUUGUUUACUUUGUUUUCCUUCCACUUCUCUCAUUUUGUUUAUGUUAGUUAAUUUGAUUUUGUAGGUUGCUUGAUAACAAUUUUCAGCCGGUGAUGAUUCAUUCAUUCAUUUAUUAGUGUUUUUUGUUUCCUUUUUUCAAAUAAUAAUAACUAAUUCUGGCUUGGCUUAUUCAGUUCAAUUGAUUAAUUUCGUUGAGUUAAUUUCGUUGAAUUUAAUUCUGUGUCAGGUUCAUUUAACUCGGAGCAGACAGUAUACCGCGGCGGAAGUCACUAAAAGAUUUUUGGAUUGUGAAACAUCUUCUGGAUUUUCUUAAUUAAGAAAUUAGAUUUGCUGUGAAUGGGAAUGGAGUUAAUUAAUGGAUACAGAUCAUCUGAUCAAAUUCAAUUGACAUCUAUCUUCUGUCUGCAGGCACCAAUUCUAAAGUUAAAAGGGAGAAUUUUAUAUGCGGGAGGAUGCGGAAGUGCCAGACCAAAGACAAGGGGCUAGAAUGGCAAUUGAUGCACUUGUGGGAAAUUUAUACAGCACAGCACAACCCAUCACAUCAUUCGAACAAAUAGCCCUGGUUUUCUUUCUCACUUUAGACUCUUGCUCAAUUUAAUGAUAAUCCACAGAAAUAUAUUUCAUUUUGACGCGCUUUUUUUCCCAUUUUAAAUUGAAGUUUGGAACGGCUGCAGCAAAUGGUGACAGAGUGAUUGGCGAGCUCAUAGCCAAGGCUUUUGAGAAAGGUUGGGGAAACAAUCUUCAUGUGUUAGCUGUAAGUUGCUUCUUGAAUUUUUCAUCGUCUUUACUUUUUUCUUAUCUGCUGUGCCUCUGAUUCGGUUGUUAUGUUUCAGAACCUUCCAUUUUGUUUCCUCUACUGUUUUAUGUUUAUUUUCUACUGCCUCACUACUAUUGCAGGAUCGGAAAACACCACCCAGUAUUGAACUUCAGUUGUAUUGGGGAAUGACCCUAGACAGGGGCUAUUUGUCACCUUACUUCAUCACCAAUCAUAAGACGAAAGAAUGUGUAAGCAUUUUGAGAUAUCAAUAAAUUAAUUGACGUUUUAUGAGAAAUUUGUGAUUCUAUAAAGGAUAGAUAUAUUGACAAUGAAGUAAUUGAGAUUGCUUAGUUCUUACCUUGAAGAUAUAACUUUGGAUCAGCCUUGUUAUUAAUCAACUAGUGAUUUCAUUUUUACUAGGUUUUACGAGAUCCUUAUAUCAUGAUCCUUGAGAAAAAGGUUUCGAACUGCGUCUUCUUUGACUUAUUGACAGAGAUUGGACCAGUUAGAAGAUAUAAUGGCACAGAUGUACUGAUCAUUGCUGAAGAUAUUGAAAAUGAUCUCCUAGCAAGUCUUGUCUUAAAUGGAGUGGCUACAGCAACCAAGGUGAACUUAUACUUGACAGUGUUUUGCUGUUAAGAGAUGGCCUACUUGAAGAAUCUUCUAUCAUUCAAUUAUUCAUUUAAUUUUACAAAGUGAAGUUUCAUAUGUCUUCUCAUUUUUUGUGGGUUCUGAAUUGCUUGAAGCCUUGUGUCAUAAAACCUCCUGGAUUUGGAGAAAGUAGGAAGGCUAGCCUUCGGGACAUUGCCAAAUUCACGUAUGGGAAGGUUGGUUCAUUUGAUAAAUGCUCCACCUUGCUUUGCAUGAUUAUUAUGUGAUUUACAAAACAAUGUGUUCCUUUCUUUCUCUUUUAGGUCAUGACAGGAAAAGAUUUUGAAUGCGUAUCUCUUGGCCAUGCUGAGAAGGUGAGAGAUAUCAGAUAUCAGUGACUGGUAUAUAAUUUUCUUUGGUGUGAAAAAAAGAUUUAUUUUACCUAAGUAGAGCACAUCAUGAGAACGUUCUUCUCAUCCUUGUUUCUGGUGGACUUUAAUCCUUUCUUCUGGUACAACUUUGGCAUAGUAAUAUAUUAAUUUUCAUUUCCUUGUGUAUAUUGACAAGAGAGACGAGGUUUUGCUCAAACAAUAUGUCUUAGCCCUCUUUUAUCAUUGUAGAUUACGGUAUCAAAGGAUCAGACGGUUAUCCUUCUUUGUAAGGCUUGCAUAGGACACGAAAAGGUCUGUGUUGUGACAUUUCACAUGAUUUUCCAACAAGUUAUCAGAAUUUUCAAUUGUGUUUAUAAUUUGAAGCGACUCUGCUUUUCAGUUUAUACUGUUUGGCUCUUUUGUGCUUCUUUGGGCUGUUUCUAUAUUUUUGGACAACUUGCUUACCCUUUUGCUAAUUUUCUUUUCUUAAAUAUGUCUGUUGCAGUUGUUACAGUGGAGAUUCACAAUGGAAAAUUUACAAGAUUUCCCUGAAGAGAGCUGUACAAAGCACUCUUAUCUCGCUGCUGUUAUAAAGGUUUGGUUAUUUGGAAUUGUAAAUUAGUUCUUCAAGAGCUUUGAAACUGACUUGUGCUGGGCAUAGAAUGAAAGUUCUCAGCCUAACAUGACCUAUUAGCACGAUCCAUUUGGGCCAAGUCAUGACCAGGUCUAAACUCUAAAUCCUGGUUGGCCAGCCAAGAAAUUUGAAUUUUCUUUUAUCUGCUAUUAAAAAAGUUGAAUAAACUCAUUUAUAGGGAGGAUCAAUGAUCAGGUCAUUUUGGAUAAAAUGAUUUAAUUAAUUGACUAAUUCUUUGGAUUCAUAUUACAUUCCCAUCUUCAUAUGAUUAUAAUUGAAGUAUAGAGUAGACUGAUACCGUACAAAUACUUUGAUACUUUAAAAUGGGAAAAAGAGAAGAAAAACAGUACCAAACAGUCAAUUAGACAUUAUAAUAUAUGUGAAGUUUUGGAACUGGAUUUUGGUAGAAGUAUAUAUUCCUUGCUAAUAGGAACGUGCCAAAGAUGAAUUCAAUUUGCUUGUUUGGUUACAGUAAUUGCAUUUAGAAGACAUGACUGCAUCUUAUUCUGUUGUUGCAUCAUGCUAUAAAUGAAAUUUGGCUCGUUGAGAUGAAAGAUUGUUGAAUUAGAGAUGUUAGGUAAGGAAGUAUUCUGAUUUGAAAUGAAACGGGUGCUGUUGUUGUAAGGUCUGUGGAAGUAAUAAAGCUGAAGUGCGUGAAAAGAAGGAUAGAGUUGCUAAUGCCAUAAAUGCUGUCAAGGCUGCAAAGGAAGGAGUUGGUAAACCUCUUAUAUUUUUGGCUUUUGUUGGUCUAUCUUGUUUGAUUGAUGCAUGACAUACAAAUGUUAUAUGUAUUCUGAUGCAUUUGCAGUUAGUGUGAUGUCACUUUUAUAUGCCUGCAAGGAGUUGGAUAAAUUGCAAACUGCUAACCAUGGUCAGAAGAUUGGUGUUCAAGCUAUCCAAUAUGCUCUUGAGGUUUUCUUUAUUCUUCUUUUUAAUUAUGUAUGUGAUAUUUCUAAAAGCUCUUAUUGUCUAUCUGUCUAAAGGCAGAGGGCUGCUAAGAUUAUUCCUCGUUGAAAGGUGAAAAGUGACAUAUACUUCACAAAAUGCAUGCGUGGUUUUCGUUAUGGGGCAUGAGCCUUAUCUUUUAUGUAUCUCAAGAGUGAAUCAUGGUAGAGAAUAUUGGUAACAAAAUGUCUAGUUUUUCAGAGCCUUCUGAUUGGUUGAGCCUGCAUCUGCAGAUGCUGGUGAGCGCGAUUGCUUAUAGCGCUGGAGUUGAUGGGUCAGUUGUUAGCAAGCUACUCGAGGGAUCCAAGCCUAAACCCCUCGGUAAAGGUUUGCGUCUGUUUCCCCCUUUUUCGAAUAAUGGAAAUUUGAAAAGGAAACGAGUGAAAUUCGAGGGUUGGGAAUUAAGUGAGGGUACUUUGAUCUACAUUUGUGUCAGGUGAAAAUGCAGAUAUGCUUAUGCCAGAAAUUGUUUUUCCAUUGAAAACCAUAAGAGCAGUCUUGGUGGAGGCUACAAGGUAACUAGUUAUUUAAAACCUUUAAGCUUAUGCUAAUUUUUUAUCUAAGCACAUAUUAAUUCUUUCUUCUUGUGUAGUGAGAUGUUAGCAAGACUUUGAAAUUGAGGCUCUUAAGGUGGCUCAGCUUGUCUUUCCAAGAAUAUUUGCAAAGAAAGUUCCAGCUGAUACAAGCCUCCAGAGUAAAACAAAGGCGUAAUGGAGGCUUCUAUCAGCUUUCACUGGGUGCUGUUAUGGUUACGGUGAUUUAUAAUCCAAAUUCUCAUGGCACAUUAUAUUUAUUUAUUAUUUGUUUGAAAAGCAUACAUUAAGCUUUUUCAUAAACUAUACACGAACAAGAAACGGAAUAUAUUGGUCAUCAGGAGUUGCGCCUUAGAUAAAUAAUACAUGGAUGCUCCAACUUCUUAUAUGCAGUUUAUUUUUUUUCUUUUUCCCCUUAUUUUCCCUUUUCUGUUAGAAGCAAAAAUAUUCUCGACAUCCCAUUUCUAAUCUAUGUAUAUAAUAUCCCUCCAAUAAAAUGUUGCCAGAUUAUGAUUGCUAUUACCAUUAGCAAGUGGUGAGUGGUAGAUUUGUUGUUUUGUUGCAAAAUUAAUAUGUCAACUUUUGCGCCUUAGAUAAAUAAUACAUGGAUGCUCCAACUUCUUAUAUGCAGUUUAUUUUUUUUCUUUUUCCCCUUAUUUUCCCUUUUCUAUUAGAAGCAAAAAUAUUCUCGACAUCCCAUUUCUAAUCUAUGUAUAUAAUAUCCCUCCAAUAAAAUGUUGCCAGAUUAUGAUUGCUAUUACCAUUAGCAAGAGGUGAGUGGUAGAUUUGUUGUUUUGUUGCAAAAUUAAUAUGUCAACUUUAUUGCAAACUUUGCCCUUGAAAUCGGAAGUCUUCUAUUUUUUUUUUAAUUUUUUGAAAAAAUAAGAAUGGUAUUUAAAUAAGAAGGGAUAUCGACGGAAUUGAACUGAUGGUGUGCUUGUUUAUCAGUCACAUUCUUGUUUAUUUUUCAGAAAAUACAAUCCAUAAUAAGAAUCAAUUUUAUAGGACCACUCAAAAUGAGAAUGUGGAAUAAAAAUCUCAUUUUCUAAACUGGUCUUUUUUUUUACCCUUAUUGAUAUUGAAAUUCAAAAAUUUCUUUUUCACCCCCAUAUAAAUACAUAAAAAAAAUCAAUUACUUCAAUAAUUUUAUUAUUUAAAAUUAACAUUUAUAAAAAAUUAUUAUAAAAGAAUUUUUUUUUCUGGAAAACUAGUUUAGCGUAAUAUUAUUAAGAAAUAUACAUACAUUUUAGUUUUAUUAGUUUAGCUCAAUUUUGCUUUUUUUUUUUUGGAAGUCAGUGUUUUAUAUUUAUUUUAGUGCAUGUAAUAUGUAAAAAUAACUUGAUUUUACCUAUUUUGAUAAAUUUACGUUAUUUUGGAUUUAAAUAUAAAAGGUAUUAAAACUCCAUUUAUAUCAGUUUUUUUAAUUAUUAAUAAUGUUCUCUUUGAGAAGGAUAUAAGUCUUCCAUCACUUUCAUUUUGUGUCACAUUAUAAUUUGUGAUACAUUUGGCAACUCGCAUUACAUUGUAUUGCAAUUGCAUUAAAACACUACUCUUAUGCUAACUCAUGCUUGGUUAAAAUUUUUAGUUGCAUUGCACUACAUUUAAAAGUUGGCUAAUAUAAGAAAAGGUGUAUAAAAUAGAUUCGCAGGGGAGACGGUGGUAGGGUUUCAGCUGUAUUAUAUUCAAACAUUGUUUAUAUUUUAAUUAUAAUCAUAUAACUUUUAUUAUUUAAUGAAUUAUAGGAAAUUUAAAUUUAUUAUAUAUUAAUUUAUAUUUAAAUAAAAAUUUAAUUUAAUUAAUAAUAAAAGAUAGUAACACACCUAAAUAUUUAAUAAAUAAAUGAUUAUACAUUAUUUUAUUUCAUUAAAUAUAAUCAUUUUAAUUAUUUACUUUAAAUAUGAAAAAAGUAUUUUAAUUUUAUUUUAUCAUUUAUUAUUCAAUAAAAAUUAAUUUAUAACUUAAUAUCAUAUUGUUUUAUAAAUAUAAUAUAAUAUAAUUUAAUUUAUAUUAUGUAAUUAUGUAGUAUUAUACUUUUAAAUAUAAUAUUAAAUUUUACUACAUUAUAAUAUGAUUAUACUAUAUUCCAAUAACUAAUAUAUAGAGAUAAAUUAGAUUAUAAUAUAAUAUUAUUAAUAUUAUAACAUAGUAUUGUAGUGUUUUAUUAUUUAAUCAUAGUAUAUGAUUAAAUCAUGUUUAUUAUAAAAUUAAUAUAUAAAAAUAAUUAUUUAAUACUUAAUUUCAAUAAUUAAUAAUGGAAUCCUAAAAUAUUAAUAAAUUUAAAUAAUAUUAAUUUAAUUUUGGCAUCAAUAUAAAAAUAAUAUUAUUAUCAUAAUAUUGUCUAUGUUGCGCCAAACAUAAUAUUGCAAUGUAGAUAUCCUAAUGCAAUACAUCGUAACACAAUACAAUUAAUGCAAAAAGUGUGCCAAACAAAUCCAUAAAGCACAAAAAUUAAAGAAAGUGAAAGGACAAUAAAAACAGGCAAAAAAAUAAAAACAGGUCGUAUUCUUUAGUCAAGACUCAAGGGUGGAAAUUGAUACUAUUUGCAAUUAUUAGGUGGAAAAUUGAUUUUCUUUUUCCCAAUGGAUAUAACAUUGAUGGAUGAUACAGAUUUUAUACAGUUGGCGCAAAAUUGAAUUAAUUUAAAUUUUUGUAGCAUUUUCUAUAUUGGAGUAAUAUUCAAAUCAACAGCUGAUAAUAUCUUUAAAUUUCAAUAACUUUAAUUAGCAUCAUCAACAAUCAGUUGAAAUGUUAUCAAUAUAAUUCCUCGGGAGGAAAAUUGUCGGCUAGUCUUAUUAGUCAGCACGAUUUCUUGAGUCAUUAUCACUCAGACUCACUCAUAAAUUUGAAUAUGUAGGUAGAUUUCUAAUUAAUUAAAUUGAAUAGUUGUGUUUUGUACCCGUGAUCACUUGAAUUCCACUAAUAAUUAUUAAAAGUUGAAGAGCAUCAAAUUUAUUUUUUUUUCAAACUUGUCGAGGAUUGAAAAACAUUGUUGAAUCAUUAAUAGGAAAAUCGUUCGAAAAAACGUAGAAUGAGGAUGCAAGACAGCAAGAAUAUUAAUAAGUAUGUUAAAGCCGGCUAAAUUAAGAAAAUUUUAUGUAAAAUGUAAUAAAAAAUAUAAAGACAUUUUUGAGUAGUCAAUUUUAGCUUUCUUUCACAAAAUAGUAUUAUAAAAGACAAUUGGUAAAAUGUAAUAAAAAUGGCACGAGAAAAGGUUAGUAGAGGUGAUUUUCCUUGUAGUUAUUAAAACAUAUGAAGUAAUGGACACACACACAUAUUCAGUACUUCUAUUUACCCCUAUUUAUUAAUAGGUGGGAAAUUAAAGUCGUAAUUACCAUAAUGUAUUAUGAAUUGAUAUGUGAAAUAUAAAUAUUAACAAAAGCUAAUUUGUAGACUAAUAAAGUAAACCAUAUUUUAUGGGCACUAGAUACAUUAAUCUAAUGUCAAAUGAGAUAUACCACGUGAUAUUUCAAACUGUAGUCCAAUUUUCAGCAUUUGCAUAUGGUUUUAUAAGCUAGUAAACCAAUAAAAUAUACCAUGAGAAAUCAAAGGCUAUUGCAUAUAUUGCACCACUGGAUAUAUAUAUAUAUAUACACAUAUAACUUCCGUUAAUCUUCCAUGGCCAUGCAUUAGAAUAAAAUAAUCUAACCGCACAAACUAUAUCCGAUUGAUAAAUUUUGAAAUUAUUUUGAUUACAUGAUAAUCGAAUUAUCUUAUAACAUUAAGGGUAUGAAUUAAGUACUAUUUUAUCAAUUUUGAGUAUCGCAUUGAGUUUUCAAAUUAAUUAAAUGUUGAAACUCUUUCAUGUUUGGCCUGACAUUAUUACUUAAUAAAAUUACGAAAAGCCAAUAAUGAAUGGUGAAGGAUACAUAGUAAAAUAAACUUUAAAAUGUAAUUAAGUAUUCCCAUGAAUUUUGUGUAAUUAAACAAAAUAUGUUAUUUAAGUGAAAUUGUGAGAAUAUUUAAAAUUGUAGGGGUGGUCACUAAAAUUUCUCGGACUUGAGCAAACUACACGAUCCCACACGGUUUAUUUUAACAAAUAAAACUUGUUAACCGCUGACUGUUGGUAGAAUAAGUUCGUAUCAAUAAAACACAAUUCAAACUCAUAUUUGCAAGCAGCAAACAAUAUCUCAUCAAGGAACAAAUUUGAGUGGAGUUUUUGGUCAAUCAAUCUAAAUAAAUUUGAGUAGAGUUUUUUGGCAAUUAAUCAAGUUUUUGAGUUUUCAAAAAAUUUAUGUUCAAGGUAAAUCUAGGAGCUAUCAUUACAAGAAAGCAAUGGAUAUUGAUCAACAAAGUUAGUACUGUAUAUAUUCUUUGUAAUUUGAUAUUUAGAACUGUUAUGAUUAUUUUGUUGUUGAGUAGAGAGAUGGUUAUGUGGAGAUUUCAGCUAUGUAACCAUGUAAUGACCAAUGCUUUAAAAUCAAACACUUGUUCGAUAAUUUGACAAAACAAAAAAAAACAUGUAGAAAUGUAAGAAAAAUGAGCAUGUAAUGUCUGGCAGUCAUGCUUCUAGGGGAAAGAGGCUGAAACAAAGAACUAAUACAUUUUUUAAGUUGGUUGCUUCAGUGAUUCUGAGCAGUCAGCAUUCUUUAAGCCAUAUAUUCAUGUAGAAACCUUCAAAUAGAAAACCAUAAAAUUCUUUGAACUCCUGAGGAAUAAAUCUUUCUAGACAUAUAUAGUUUCUAAUUUUAUUCCUUGUUAAUUGAUAUCAGUUAAUUCAAAAACUUCGGGUCUUGUGUGGUUUCAAGACAGUUGUGACCUUUGUGCACUAAGGGCCCGUUUGGGAGUGUGGUGAGGUAGCUGGGUUGUCAAAGCCCAGCUACUAAAGUGUUUGGUAACACUUAUACCUGGGUUUUGACAAUUUAGCAGAUUUGUUUUCCCAGCUGCAAGUUUAAUUACUAAAUUAGCCUUAUAUAUUAUUCCAUUUUAAUUUUAUCAAACAGUCGUGUCAGUGGGAGUUCUAUUUCAAAUCAAUUUUUUUAAACAAACCCUAAACACCCAUUCUCAUCAGCACGAUUCCGACUGUGGGAGUUCCAAUUGAUGCGAUUCCGACACUGGCCACUCUCAUACGCCUCUGUCAGUGGUGCGUUUUCCUCUACCCGUUGUUCAUUUUUUAGUGCUCCUUUACUCUAUUGCAAGCAAUUUUUCAUUUUCUUCCUUUUCGUUCAUAAAAUGUUGGGGCUUUUGUUUAGAAUAAAUUGAUGGGUGAUGGGUCAUGUGUGAUUUAUUUGCUUGUAACCAUUGUUUUUAUCGUAGUUUUUAUUUUUGUAGUUGCUUUUUGUAGACAUGCACAGCCCCUGUUUGAUUUGAGUUUCUAGUUCUACAAAACAUUAAAUAAUAAAAUGCAUGCCUACGUUAUGAAAUACUAUGCUUCAGUAAACAAAGGGAAGUUUGUCAAAUUCCGGAUUUCAAGUUGAUGUUUUGGCACAGUCAAAAGAAGGGGGAAAGUGUUGCAAUUGCAAUUGUAUAGGUCUUAUCCAAUUUCUUUGGGAUGGGCCAAAAGAAUAGUACAGGAAAUAUCAAAGCACGUAGCAAAUUUGAGAUUGUGAGGCUAAAUGCAAUUGCAGUUUGUACCUAAUGAUUGUUUAGUUGAAUUUCUUUGUUUCCUAGUCUGGUUUGUCUUUUGUUGCUUUAUUGACUUUCUUGUAAUUGUUUCUAUUCGUGGGCUAUGAUCAUUAUUGUUUGCUGGAAAAGUAUUUCAAGUAAACUAAGUGUUUGAUUAAAAGUAUUUCAAGUAAAGUAACAACUAAAGUAACUUGUUCUGGUUUGUCUUUUUUUUUUAAAUUUUUUUAAUAUCGAAUUAUUUUUCCUUCCACCAUCCAUAACAAGAUUCUAGUAAUUUUAUUAACUUCUAUGUUCUUAUUUUUCCUGUAUUGUUGUUUGACAAAGAAAUAUUUUUUUUUCCUAGGUUUAAGUGUAUGAAAUUAUGUCUAAUAGCUCAACUAGUAAGGCUACCUGGAACCCCCAGACUUUAGAUGUAUUUUGUGACUUAUGCAUUAAAGAGGUGGAUGCCGGACAUCGUCCUGGGACUCAUUUGACUUCCCAAGGAUAUGAAAAUUUGAUUAAGGAGUUCAUUAGAGAAACUGGAUUAGAUUACAACAGAACUCAAAUGAAAAAUAAAUGGGAUUCUUUUAGAACUGAUUGGAAAUUGUGGAAGAAUUUGAUUGGUAAGGAAGCUGGUUUAGGGUGGAAUCAUAGGUUGAGGACAAUUGAUGCAAGUGAGGAAUGGUGGGAAAAGAAAAUAAAGGAAAAUCUGCAAUUCAGUAGAUUUCGGAAAAAUGGUAUUGAUCCAGAGUUGGAGAAAAAAAUAAAUUUAAUGUUCAUGAACACUGUGGCUACUGGUGAGCAUGUUUGGGUUCCCUCAUCUGGUUUUCCUUUAGAGAGUAAUGACGCAUCUGAAUCUCUUUGUGUUGAGAGUACUGCUGACUCUGAUGAGUAUAUUGUGUCUGAUGAUAGUAAGGGAAGCAAAGGUAAAAGAGUGGCCUUAAAAGGGAACAAAGUAGGAGGUGCUGUAAAACUGUCAAGGCAGCUUGAUCGUCUCAUUGAUGCAGUAGAGAAAAGGAACACAACUUCAAACUCUCAAAAUGAUACAAGUGGGAAAGAGAUUUAUAAAGCAUUGGAAGUGGUUGCUUCUUUACCAAACAUUGAGGCUGGGAGUAAAGUGUGGUUAUUUGCUAGUCAGUUGUUUACGGACAAAGUGAAAAGGGAUUUAUUUAAUGAGAUAGAAGAUCCAAAUGUCAAAUUGAAAUGGCUUAAUUAUGAGAAAAAUACAAAGUGAAAAUGUAUUGUAUUUAUGAAACAAUAUUUUGUAAAUUAUGUUUAUGAAUGAAUACUUUUUAUUUUGUCACUGAUUACACUUUAUAUUACAUUUACAAUGUAUAUGAAUUGUUGCUAUUGAUUUAUUUGCUUGAGGCUUAUUUAUGGAAAUAUUUCUGGACUAUUUGCUUGAGGAAAAAUAAUAGCAUUGAAAUUAUUAUUAGUAUAUCUUCCAUAAUUAUGUCUUAACUUCUCAGCAAGCUCUGGCUCUUGGCGUAUAAUUUCCUUCACAAAAUCCACAUGCCCAAGCAUACAUAAUUAAUUUAUCCUGUUGAAGCACAUGAGCCAUUCUUUGUGAUUAAUUAAUUACAACUUAAUUACUUAAUUAUUUCUCUUGCAUAUGUAAUUGGUUGACUUUAUUCUGGCUGUAAUAAAUACCAUGAGUUGUAAGAAUCAUUAACCUUCUUAUAGGCCUCAUAUAUGCAUGAUCGUAUAGAUAAUGCUAAUAAACGUUCUUCAAAUUAAGUUCAUUAAUUUCAUAUUUCUGUCUUAUAUUUAUGCUUCCAAAUGGAUAAUUUUCUUGAGAACUUUCAACAUACUCAAUUAUUUCUUGUCCAAUAUUAUUCUAACAACUAAGAAGAAUAAGAAUAAAGGGACCCUUUAUUUAUGCUUUCAACCAAGAAGAAUAAAGGGACCCUUUAUGAAAAAAAAAAAAAUUCUAAGAGCUAUAAAUCUUAUAUUUGGAGCAUUUAUGAAAAUAAUAAUAAUAAUAUUUUCAAGGGUCCCUUUAUGAUGCCGUAAUUUUUUUACGGUAUCAGUAGUGUGGGAAAUAUAUACCGUUAGAUCUAAUCAACAGUACAUAUUAUUUAUAUUAAUGAAAAUUUUUAAUUAUUUGAAAAUUAUCUUAAUUGGUUAACAAACCUGUAAAAUAGGUAAUUUUAAAUUUAAAAUGAAAAAGAAACAGAGAUAUAGUCAAAUACAAUCUCUCUUUAUCUCUCACGUUCAUGUUUUUAUAAUUGGAUUCUUUAAGAUUAUCUCUGUCUCCUUAUGAUUAGAUGAAAGAGAUUCAAUAAAUUUCUCUUAAUAAAUAUUUCAGUAGUUUUAAUCGUAUUUUCAAAUUGGAAUUUUUUAAUAACGUAACAGCUGUAUUUUUAUUGUAUUGUCAAUUUAUUGCCUUGAGUAUUUGCUGCCAUGGUUUAAGAUCUGUCCUACGCUGCUUAAAAUCAUUCUAUAACGUGCCUAAAGGCACCAGGCGGUUUAGAGGCUCGUGUGGUUCACAGAUUACCAACCAUAGAGAAAAAGUAAAUGGGGAGAGAACCAUGAGGCAAGGUGCACUCACUACUAAAAAAAUGACCUUUACUGACACUUAGUUUCUGACACUUUAUAAAAAGUAUCAGUAAUUAUGUACAUAUGCACCAUUUUCCGCUUUUAACAAACAAGUAUUAUAAAUUAUUGAUACUAACGUGAUUAUGUGAUUAUGCUAUUACAGUGCUAAAAAGAAUGCAGGAUUAAUUAAUCCGCAAGGCAACUAGGCAAGUGGAUAUGUAUCUGUUUGAUGAUAGAUUAGUUUUGAGAAAUUCAUUUAUCUUAUUUAAAAGAUUUUCUUAUUUUUCUUAGUUGUUAGAAUAACACUGGACAAGAAAUAACUGAGUAUGUUGAAAAUUCUCAAGAAAAUUAUCCAUUUUGGAAGCAUAAAUAUAGGACAGAAAUAUGAAAUUAAUGAACUUAAUUUGAAGAAAGUUUAUUAGCAUUAUCUAUACGAUCAUCUAUGAGGCCUAUAAGAAGGUUAAUGAUUCUUACAAUUCAUGGUAUUUAUUACAGCCAAAAAAAAGUCAACUAAUUACGUAUGCAAGAGAAAUAAUUAAGUAAUUAAGUUGUAAUUAAUUAAUCACAAAGAAUGGCUUAUUUGCUUUUUAGAUUGAAGCCCUUGCUGGGAAGUUCAAUUCACUUUAUCACAUAUGAUCAAAACCACAGUUUCUAGUGUCGUUUUUUUGGGGUUUUGUUGAUUACACGGAAAGUAACUAAUUACUACAGCUAAAGCAUGCAAAACAAUAUUAGAAGCAAAAUGAUUUUUGGAUCUGAAGGGGCAAUUAUUUUUUUUUCAAGUUUGUUAUAUGUUCUUUUGUGAAGACCUGAAGAUUCGAGAGUCAGAUUAAUAAUUUUGUCUCUCUUAGGCUUUAUGCGGUGAGAAUGAACUUUCUCUCUUUUAAUUCUCUGUCAUUUUCUCAAUGAAGGCAACAAGAGAAAAUUCAAUCUUUAAAAGUCUCAACAUUCAGAAUUUGGCCAGUCUAGUUGUCUACUUUGCAUCUGCUGGAGUAUAAUAUCGCCAAGAGAUUUUUCCAUUGCACUUUACGAAUUUAUAUUACUUUGAGGAGGGAAUUCAGUUGACUACUAAUAUCUUACAAUUGAAAUUUAAAUGUCGGUCUUUAAAUUCUAAAAAUUAAAGGCAAGCCCCAUAUGAAAAUAUAGAUGUUAAAAUCUUCAUUUUUGUUUAUUGAUACUUUAUUUGUUAGUAUCAUUAUUUUAUAGAUAUACUUGAUGUUACACGAUUGACUAAAUAUUAACAUUAAAAUGCAUAUGGAAAGAAAAGAUGAUGGAGGGCCCCAUAAAAGCAUAAAAACAAACGGAGAGGGUGAAGCAAACUUUCAAAAUUGCAACCAUGAGAAUUAAAAUAGUUUAAGUAAGGUUUUUUUAAAAUCAUAAAUAAUGUACAAAAGAAAACUUAAUGAAGGAUUAUUUGAACCCAAAUUCUCAUUUGAACCAGUAUUAAAAAAAUUUAUUAUUAAAUUGUCUCUAACAUAAGAUACUGUUAUGGACUUAAUAAUGCGUAUUUCAUCUUGAAGUCAUCUCUAAAUUUGCUUAAUGUAUACAGAAAAAAAAAAUUGUUUCAUAGUUAUUAAUUUUUCUUCAACUCCUCUAGUUGAAAACAGAUCAAACUGAGUUGUUAAAUAUUGGAUUUGGUGAAAACUAUAUCACUAGUCAAGCUAUUCUAGAUUCAAACAAUCAAAUCUAUUUCAUUGAAUUCGAACUAUAUAAGAAAGAGGAAAGCCAUGCCAUUGAAAAAUAUUGUGCGCUUUAGUUUAGUUGUUUAAUUGAUUAUUGAUUACAACUAUAAUUUUAUUAUUACUUUAUUUUUUCAUGAUAUUAUAUAUGUUUUAUAGCGGUUUAAUGACAAUAAUGGGCAAAAAAAUUAAUUCCACUUAAUAAGUUGAGGGAUUUGGUUUUUGGGUAUGAACAGGUUACGGGUUGGAUAGAUAGAAGAAGAAGAAGGAGAAGAAGAAGAAUGGAAGAAAAAAGUUGCAGAAAAUCAUGAAUUAGUUUCAAAGGUAUAUUAGGUAUUAAGAUGGAUUUAUAAAGUAUAAUAUAAACUUUUAAAUUUUAACAAUGGUUUUAAUGAGUAAAGGAAUUUUGAAACUAAUCCGGUGGAUUUAAAAUGUACUCAUUAAAACUUAAUUAUUUUUUUUUGUUUUUUGAAAAGACUAAAACUUAAUUAUUUAAAAUUAAUAUAUUAGUGCAUAGAAUAAUGAAGCGAUCAAGGUAAUUUUUACAGCAUAAAUAAUCCUACUCUUUUAUGAAAUAGUAACUCUUGGAAUUGUCUGAUUAGAUUAUCAGAAGAUGUUUGCUUGUGGAUGCCAACUGACGUUACAAAGUGAUAAAUGGAUGAACGCACUGUUAACGGGAUAAUAAGUUGUAUAUGUAGGAUUAACGUGUGUGUAGAAGAAAUCUUGCGGUUAUAAUAGACUUGAAAGGUAUAGUCCGUGCACAUCUCACUAUUUGGUGCGUAUGAAUUUUAGCAAUUGAUAAACCGUGAAAUCAAUCAAAUCAUUACCGGCUAUGACUAACAUGAUCAGCCAUAAUUAUUUCUUGUCUCCAAAGAAUUAUUAGUAAACAGUAAAAGGAAGUCUUCAAUGUGAAGAAUUAUCUGUGAAUUCUUGUUCCUAAGUUCGAUCCAUUGUGUACGUGAGAUGAAACUAAAAAAUUAAAAAAGAAAGAAAUUAACAAUAAAGAAGAACGAUCAAGAAGAAGACGAAGAAUAAAAAAAAAAGGGAAUUAAGAAAUAAAGAAGACGAGGGGUGGAAAAUAGUAUUGAAUGAGAAAUGAGAAAUAUGAUUUUCCUUUUUUUAUUCUUAAUGUAAAUUUCACAGCAACAAUUAGAGCAACAUUCACGGAACAAUCUCUGUACCAAGUAAAGCCGACAAAUAUGGCCCUUGCUUUAGCCAUAGGGUUUCCUUCAUCCAGAUUAUGCCUUAAUUUUCUCUGAUUCCUCUAAGAAUUGAUUAAAGCAAUAAUGCAUGACAGAUAUAGUUUUCUCUGCUUAGUAGGGAUCAAUGCAUGCAUGAAAAAGUUGAGGACGAUAAACGACUAGUCGUUUUAACACCCAUACGAUGGUUUUAAGCUAAACUAUUCGACGAUUGUUCUGCUGCAACACAUGGGCCAAGAUGAAGAAUUUAUGGUAAAUUUAAGUUAUGUUGUAUUUGGAAUAUUUGGCGUCGAAUUUUUUCCUAAUUCCAGAUCCAUUUGCCCUUGUGACCAAAUCUAAUCUUGUUAGUUCUUUGAAGGGCUUGUUUUGGCAUCAUGAAUAAUUUUCUAAGAAAAUUUCAUCUCAGGUAUUAUAGUAUUGGGAGAUGGUUAAAAUAAAUAAUUUUAUCAGUGUAAGUAAUUGAAUACUAGUGAAUUCAAAUACAAAGUUUUUCAAUUAAAAGUAAAAAACGAAAUAAAUUAAAUCCUAUUACACCACUUUCGCAGGUAAUCACGGUUGCAUUUAGCGUAUGCAACAAGCCUUUAAACCCCUAGGCAGCCCUAGUGGACGAGUUUAGUCUCGUGAGGGUUUGUAGCGACGAUACCCACAAACAUCAUCAAUCCCUUUAAUAAUAUUUAUCUUAAUCUUCAUUACUACCAAAAUGAAUGCUCCGUCCUCUCACAAGGGCAACAUUAUCAGAAACCUCACCACAAUUAUCACAGAAGCAUUGUGCCAUUAUGCUCAUUGCCGAAACUUCAUCUAAGAAGGGCUUUUGACAAGCUACCUCAAAUUCUUUCAAUGUCCUCGUAGAACUUUCACUAGAGUUUGUCUCGUUCUGGUAGCAAUAGCUUGUGGUGAUAUAUUUAUCAAAAUCUUUCAUGAACGUUUUGGUAUGCUUGGCCUAAUAAAAUGAAAAAACAAAGAAAAAAAUGAAAUGAAUAUAUGCUUUAAAAAAUGAGUUAACUAAAUUAAAAUUUUUAAAGACUAAUAACUAAAUUAAAUUUUUUAAGACUAACCCUUCGCAAGCCUUCGCCGGUCUCAUCGUACUCCCCAACUAUCGGGUCGCCAAUGAUCAGACCACCAACAUUAUGAUCAUUUAUCUGCAUAUAAAAGUCGUUAGAGAAAUACAAUCCAUAAAUUUAUUUGCUUAAUAUAUUCUUUGUAAUUUUUUUUUUUAACAAAUUGAGCUACAAUUCAUGUUUCUUUUUAAAAUUAAAUUAACCAAAUAGUAUUUCUAAAUUUUAACACUCAAGUCCUGCUCAUUUUAAUUUUUUAUGUUAAUAUCAUUGUCCAUUAUUGAUCAUUAUGAAAAUUCUAAUAGAAUGUGGAAUUGUCAUUUUUACCCUUACAAAGAAACAACUGAAGGUUGAGGAUAUUUAAACCAUAAAAAUAUUCUUUGUACCACCUUUUAAUUAAAUAAUUUAUAUUAAAAAAUACUCAUUCAUUAAAUUAUUUUAUGGACGAAGAAUAAAUCUCUGUAAUUUACAACUAUUUAUUCUUUAUCCAUGCUAUCUUUCAUCUUGCACAAAAAUAACCAUUCGUAUAAACUAAAAAAGAAAAAUCCUUAGGAAAGGUGUAGUUCAAGAAUUUCUAGGGAAUAUGAAUGACAAGUUUAUAAAUAACAAAAUUUUAAGAGCUAUAAAUCUUAUAUUUGGAGCAUCUAUGAAAAAAUAACAACAUUUUCAAAUCAAACCACUACUUAGACCAAAGGACCUAUGUUAGGAUUAUUGUUGAUGAAAAAAAAUCUGUUUCUGAAAUAUGAUGGUUUCAACCAAAAUUAUUUUAUUAGGUUUGAGUUUAUGACAAGUAGAAAUUAAAAAAAAAAUGGAGGAUGAAGUUCAGGAGUGCUAAAUUGUUAUUUAGGAAUAAAGAAAGCAAAGGGACGAAGUUCGGUUUCCAUUUAGAUGAAGAUAUUAAUAUGCAAAUAAUAAAAUUUAAUUACAUAUAAUUUAAGAAGUAUGGGACAUGUUCAUUAAUAAUAUCAUUGAAAACAUUUAAUUUACGCAUCUACACAGUCACUUUGGUCAUAGUUUGUUAUUAUUGACAAAUUAAUAUAUUUUUGUCACAUAUUAUUUUUUUAUUGACAUAUUCAAAUAAUUUAUUUUAUAUUAAAGAGAUAUUAUGUUAUAAAAUUUUUGUUAUUAAAUCAUGUUAAUUUUUCAUGCAUUUUGGAAUUUGUACGUGAGAUUACAUUACUGCACAUACAAUGUCACUCAUUCUAAUAGUGAAAUUAGGUCGAUGGAUUCAAGUGUAAAAAUUUUUGAAACAAUCUGGACAUACAUGUUAAGAUUUAGAAACCUUUGACUCUUUUGAUUUUUCAGCAAACAUCAGGGAUGGCAAUGUUAGUAACCAUGCAAACACAUGCAUCUAAACCGUUAUGCAACUAUUUGGUUUGGUCUAAUGGUUAUAUCACUAAAUGAAAAACAAGGGGUACCUAACGUGGAUUACAAAAUAGUUGGACCUUAUAUAGAUGUUAAAUUAUUGUUUAUUUAUUUUGAAUAUCACUUUUACUACUUAUUCAUAGUUAUAAUAUUAUAAACUUACACGUUUUCUGAGUUGCUCCAGAUCCUGUGCUUUUGUAGUUUGUGUUAUAUGUCUGCGACAUUGAAAAAAAAUAGUGUUACACAAAUAAUUAAUUUAUAUUUUAUCUCUAACUAGUAUUUACUAUAAUGUGAAAAGCAAUUAUACCCCAAUGGUGUCAUUUCCACAUAAUUUUGCUCGAAGUUGGCUAGUGCAAGGCCGAUAUACUUAGAUCCAGGAUCAACAGCUAUAAUAUUUUUCUUAAGAGCUUUACAUUCUCUCAAAAGAUUCUUGGCAAUUUUGAGACUCAUUGAGGAUUUUAUUUUAAUUAACCAACAAAUUUUCUUUUUGCCAAACGAUUAUGCUUGUUUUGAUUUGUGCUCCUUAAAUUAGAUAGAUAAUCAUGUAUUUGAUCAUGUUUUUUUUUUAAAUAUAAAAGAAAAAAAUCAUUCAUUGUACAUGUAUUUGUGCUCCUUGAAUUAGGUAGAUAAUCAUGCAUCUGAUCAUGUUUUUUUUUCAAAAAUAUAAAAGAAAAAAAUUAUUUAUUGCACUUGUAUUUGUUUGAGGUUGAAUCACGACAUAAAACAUCUAUGCUAAUUUUUUUUUUUCAACAUCCAAUUAAAAUCCUGGUUCUGCCACUGAUUAGAAGACUUGGGUCAAUUUUAAAUUUUUGCUAGCAUGUGAGCGGAUUCAAGAGACAUUGUGAACUCAAGGAACAUCUCUAUUCAUUCCAUCAGCCCAUAAAUAUCACUAAUGACCCAAAAAACCUCAGUACGAGAGCUAGAGACACAAUUAAUAAGUUCAUGAGCCACUACACAAUUGGCUUGAUCAUCACCAGCAUGUUCUACCACUUUAUUAGAUCGGCCUGGAUUUGCUCUUGCCGUGCAAACAACAGAAUCCCAUCUAAAGUUAGAUUAAUUACAUCUUAUCCUUCAUUAAAAAAUAAAUAAAAUUACAUGUUAUCCUAGGUUGCAAUGUUAGAUUUCAUAAUUAAAGAAUAAUACUUUUAUAUUUGAAUUAUCUUUAUUUUCAAUUAUUUUUUAUAAUUAAUUUUUUAGAGUAUGUAUUCAUAGAAUAAGGUACUUUAUGUCCCAUUUUAUUUAAUAUACUUCUUUCUACUUAUGAAAUUUUAUGGUCAUAAUAAAAUAUUAAUUUUUAAUUUAGCCCAAGAUAAUAUAAAGCUUUGGGUCCGCCCCUGGUUAACUUAUUGACUAGCGACUAAAUAGACGAUGUUUGGGUUGCCUCUCCGAUGAUUGAAAUUUUUUUCUUUUUUUUUUGUGAAAAAAAGAAAAUACUCAAAUAGUUUUAUUUUUAAAUUAAAUUAAAGAAGUUGUUCUUACUGAAGUACAAGACGCAGUUCCUACGAAAUAAAAUUAAAGAAUGAAGAAGAUAGAAAUUGUAAAAGCUAGCUGCAUACACAGCUUUUGGGCAUGUAUUAAAGGACAAAUUAAUCAAGCACGCCACCAAAUUGGAACGCAUUCGUGAUUCACCCGAUGGUGAGUUGCAUAAAGGAGACUUUGCAUAAAAGUACAAACUCAUUAAUCAUUAAGACAUGAAGUAGUUGUAAUUAUUUAAUUGUAAUAACUUUAAUUAUCAACUUCUAAAAUUUAUGGUAACGUUAUCAAUAAAAUUCCGAAGGAUGAAAAUUGUCAAUCAGUCUCAUUAAUAACGGCAACUUCUUGCUCAAUGUCACUCGCUUUCACUCUUAAUUUUGAAUAUUUAAGUAGUUUUCUUAUUAAUUAAAUUGAAUAAGUUGUGGUUUGUGUGUAAUCACUCGAGUUUCAGCAAUAAUGAGUAGGGUUAGUGUUGGUAUUUGCACAAAAUUGUUAUAACUACAAUUAUUAAUAGUUGAAGAACACCAAAUUUAUUUAUUGAGUAGUGUUACACAUCUCAAAAUUUUUAUCAUAAAUGAUAUGACAUUCAUCAAAUUGAUUGGUGAGAUAUUACAAUUAAUUUACUUAAAUUUGAUAAGAAAUUAUGAAAUUUAAUGAAUGACAUGUUAUUUAGAAUAAACUUUGAGAUAAUAGGAGUCUAUUACCACUCUUAUUUUUUUAGACUUGGCUAGGACUGAAAAAUGAUGUUGAAUCGUUAAUAGGAAAACCAUUCAAGAAAACAUAGAACGACGAUGCAAGGUAUCAAGAAUAUUAAAAAAUAUGUUAGAGCCGGUUAGGGAUGGCAAUUGGCACCGCCCGCGGCGGGUUUGUCAUUAUCAAAGCCAAACCCACACAAAAUUUAAAUUACCAAACCCACCUGCAACCCAUAGCGGGUUUUAAUUUUUUUAAGAAAACCCACCCGCUAAGGAUUUUGACAAUUACCAAACCCGCAUUGGUAUCCGGCGGAUUUUUUGGGGAAUUUUUAUAUUUAAAAUCACAAAUGUUGAAUAUAUAAAUUUACAAUAAUAACCUCAAAUUCCACAUAACAUAUUCAAUUUUAAAUUUAACUAAUAUAAAUGAAAAAUUAAAAUUUCAACAUCAAUCCAACACAAAAUUUUAAAUUUUAAGUAUAAAAUACACAAAUCCAUUAAAAAAAACGACAAACUAAUAUCUAAAAAUAACAAUUACAUCUCAUAUUAUCAUUCAACACAAGCUCCAAGAAAGAUGUUCAUUUCAUUCACCAUCAUUAGCACCCAUCCAACAUGAUGCCUACAAUAAUGAUUAAGAUUAAUAUUUUCCAAAAAAUAAUAUUUUUCAAAUACUAAUCCGAAAAAACUUAUAUAAUGAACUAAUUCAUGCAUUAAGUUAAAGAAAAAUAGUCCAUACAAAAACAUUUUGGUUAUUUGGCACUUUGCAUUGUUAUACACACUACACUUGUUUAUACUUUGGUUAUUUGGCGCUUUGCAUAAUUGCAUUAUUUUCUUUAUAUAUUAAAUAUUUAAAUAUUUUUCAAUUAAAAAUAUUUAAAAAAUAUUGCGGGUCUAGCGGAUAUCCAUGUGGGUAUUCGCCGGAUAUUGGGCUAAUACCAAACCCACCCGCAUCCAAAUGCGGGUUUCAAUUUGUAAUACCAAACCCACCCGCAACCCACAAAAUUAUCCGAAGCAGACGGGUUUUGGCGGGUGGAUUUGGGCGGGUUUGUAGACACAAUUGCCAUCCCUAUAGCCAGUUAAAUGGAGAAAAAUUUUAAAUAGUUUUCAUAAAGCAUAUUUUUAUUUUUUUAUUGAGCAUAAAAAUUGCAUUAAUCUCAUGACAAAAGAGUAUAAAGUUCUACUAAAACAUUUUCCAGCUGAACUACAACACUAGUCGUCGAGGCGGAACUACAUUCACGCCUAGCAAGGGUUGCCAAGGUUUCAAAAUUUAUUUUUAAAAAAUAAUGUGAAAACUAAAAAGUUUUCAAAAUGAUCCCCAAUAUAUGUUUCAAGGCAACUCUCAAUUUUCUUCAUAUUUUCGCAACCCCUAAAUUAAAAUCUUAAUUCCACCACCGACUAGACGACUUUUGCAAAUUCUGCUAGCUUUUGAGUUGAUACUUUGCAAUUUCAAGAGACAGGUUGAACUCAAAAAGCACUCAUUCGUUCCAUCAGCAGAUGAAUAUCACUAAUGACCUAAACAAACCUCAAUACGAAAACCUUCAAUCAGCCACUACACAAUUGCGCUACUACAGUCAUUGAAUUCACAUGGCAACAACAUCCAUGGUUGUGCACGUUUUAGCUAGCGUCUUUAAUGCGCGCUCAAAUUUAAGUUGGCAAAAAUACAUGAUUUUUCUCUAAGCUCUGAUUUUAAUCUUGUGGGAAGGAGAUGAAUGAAAUACUAAUUUUUUUUUUUAAAGGGUGAAAGACCAAAAAAGAAAAAAGCAGUACUUGAAAAUUAUAAGCUCAAAAGUUGUUUAACUAGCAAUUCAUUCAUUUAUUUUUUUAGAAGGAAUAAUUCAUGAGUUUUCAAGUCAGCUUUAACGACAAUGAGAUGUGAAAAUAAUUGUUGCAUCUUUAGAAAGUAGUCCUCUUAUAAGAAUGCACACAUCCUUUUAAAGUACAGACGUUCAGAUUUUAUAAGCUCAUAUUACAAUAUAUUUAUGUAAUAUUCAGAAGUUUCAUCGAGAGUUUUUAAGUUACAUUUCACUCUUACCCCUCCUCAUCAUCAAAUUAAAUGUAUACCCUUAGAAUUGCACUUGUGACUUCUUGCUUCCAUUGCAAUGGUUAAGCCAAUUAUAUUCGGGAUUUAAAUUUACGUGAUUAUAAUACAUUCUCGAAAUGUAGCGAGACUAAAAUGAUAAUCUAAGCCUGUUAAACUAAAACCAAAACAAAUGGUUGAUCGUGAUUUCUUUUUCAUUAGAUUUUAAUACUAAUGUAUGCAUGGUGUAAUGUUUAGACAAAAUAGAUGGGCGCUUAGUGUUAUUUACUUAAUUUGAUAUCUAAUUUUGAGAACCACAUUGGACUGGUCCCGUUGGAUCUGACUGUCCAUGUAGUCUAUUUUGGUCUAAAUAGGGAUCAAACUUUGAUUGAACUUUGGACUCAAAUGUGGAAUCAGUUAGGGGUGGGCAUGAGUUGGUUUGUGUUAGAUUUUAAAACAAUCCGAACUAAAUUAUAAAAAUUUGGGCCUGACCUAAACCAACCCAAAUAUUUUUAACCCAGCCCAAAUAAUUCAUUUGGGUUUUGUUUGAAUUUUAUAAUCAAAAUAUUUUUUACUUUGAUAAAUUUAAUUAUAUCAAAAUUAUAAUAAUGAUUAAUUUUAUUAAUUAUUACAUUACUAUUAAAAUAUGAAAAAAUAUAGUGGAUAAAAAAUUAUAAAUAAUAGAUUUUACAAUAACUUUAUCCUUAAAUUAAAGAAUAUUAGAAAAUUAAAAUAAAAUUUAAUUACGAAAAUCAUUAUUUCUCAAUAAAUGAGAACGUAAACUUUAACAAUAAACUUUCACAAACAUGAUAUCAAUAAGUAAAUUAAAAGAAAGAAAAUAAAAAUUAGUGGUGUUAACCAUAUUAAAACACAAAUUCAAAUAAUGUCAAUACAAAUCAAAACAAGAUAAGACAUCCCAACUCAGAUAUCAAAGCAAUCCAUUAUAAUCAUUUCUAUCCACAGUACUUUAAUUAAAAUAACAACCACAAGCUAUACAUGUAAAGAUAGUUGUAUUAAGGCUCCCUUUGAUACAACUUUUCAAUACAACUUUUCAAGUAGAGAUUUUGAUAGUAGAGCUUUUACUUAAAAAAAUUUAGAUGUUUGGUUGUCAAUAAGAGCUUUUAUUAAAAAUUUAUAAAAUUACUUUAAUAGGCAAGUUUUUUUAAGUUAUGUUAUGAAAAUAAUGUCAAAUAAGUAGAGAAUAUUUUAGAUAUUUUAAUAUUUAAAAAAAAACUUUUCAACCUCUACUCUCAAAAGCUCAAAAUUUGAGAUUUUGUUAGUAGAGGCAAAAUAGCUUAUUUAAACUCUAAAAAUUCUAUAAAAAAAAUAACCAAAUAAAAACAAAAAUUAUGAUAAGAGCUUAUGGAAUUAAAUAAGCACUUAUGAACAUUACAUAAGCCAUACCAAAUAAACACUAAAUAAAUAAAAUAAAAGAGUAAAUGAAUAGAAUAUUUCAUGUAACUGAGCAAUCUCGAGCUGUUUACGAAUAUAUGUGGAAAGUGUCCUAAGUUUAAUAUAUAAAAUGGUUCUGAAUAAAGAGAAUUUGAAAGACGAAUUGAAAGAGCGAGCAGGCACUAAGAUUUCCUCAUUUCAAUCUCAUUCAGGUAUAUUUGAUUAGUAAAGUGAAAGACCCCGAGUCCGAGUCCGAGUCCGAGUCCGAGUGUCCAACUAGAAAAUUCAUUAAAUACGCACCUUCUAACCGACUCAAUCCCACCACAAGGGACCCACAAAACCCACCCAACCAAACAAAACUGCCUUUUAAGUCUCAUUAAGUCUCUGUUCUGUUUUGGUCAAUCGAAUUCCUCUGUCCUUUCUGCGCAACAAAAUCACAAACGAUGUUGCGCCAUGCCUCUAACCUCGCCUCCAAAGUCAGGUGCACUUCUCCUUCACAGUUUACCAAAUUUUUAUUUUGUUUACUUUGUUUUCCUUCCACUUCUCUCAUUUUGUUUAUGUUAGUUAAUUUGAUUUUGUAGGUUGCUUGAUAACAAUUUUCAGCCGGUGAUGAUUCAUUCAUUCAUUCAUUAGUGUUUUUUGUUUCCUUUUUUCAAAUAAUAAUAACUAAUUCUGGCUUGGCUUAUUCAGUUCAAUUGAUUAAUUUCGUUGAGUUAAUUUCGUUGAAUUUAAUUCUGUGUCAGGUUCAUUUAACUCGGAGCAGACAGUAUACCGCGGCGGAAGUCACUAAAAGAUUUUUUGAUUGUGAAACAUCUUCUGGAUUUUCUUAAUUAAGAAAUUAGAUUUGCUGUGAAUGGGAAUGGAGUUAAUUAAUGGAUACAGAUCAUCUGAUCAAAUUCAAUUUACAUCUAUCUUCUGUCUGCAGGCACCAAUUCUAAAGUUAAAAGGGAUCUCGUCGAAGCCCUGAUUGAUGGAGAAUUUUAUAUGCGGGAGGAUGCGGAAGUGCCAGACCAAAGACAAGGGGCUAGAAUGGCAAUUGAUGCACUUGUGGGAAAUUUAUACAGCACAGCACAACCCAUCACAUCAUUCGAACAAAUAGCCCUGGUUUUCUUUAAUGAUAAUCCACAGAAAUAUAUUUCAUUUUGACGCCUUUUUUUUCCCAUUUUAAAUUGAAGUUUGGAACGGCUGCAGCAAAUGGUGACAGAGUGAUUGGCGAGCUCAUAGCCAAGGCUUUUGAGAAAGGUUGGGGAAACAAUCUUCAUGUUUUAGCUGUAAGUUGCUUCUUGAACUUUUCAUCGUCUUUACUUUUUUCUUAUCUGCUGUGCCUCUGAUUCGGUUGUUAUGUUUCAGAACCUUCCAUUUUGUUUCCUCUACUGUUUUAUGUUUAUUUUCUACUGCCUCACUACUAUUGCAGGAUCGGAAAACACCACCCAGUAUUGAACUUCAGUUGUAUUGGGGAAUGACCCUAGACAGGGGCUAUUUGUCACCUUACUUCAUCACCAAUCAUAAGACGAAAGAAUGUGUAAGCAUUUUGAGAUAUCAAUAAAUUAAUUGACAUUUUAUGAGAAAUUUGUGAUUCUAUAAAGGAUAGAUAUAUUGACAAUGAAGUAAUUGAGAUUGCUUAGUUCUUACCUUGAAGAUAUAACUUUGGAUCAGCCUUGUUAUUAAUCAACUAGUGAUUUCAUUUUUACUAGGUUUUACGAGAUCCUUAUAUCAUGAUCCUUGAGAAAAAGGUUUCGAACUGCGUCUUCUUUGACUUAUUGACAGAGAUUGGACCAGUUAGAAGAUAUAAUGGCACAGAUGUACUGAUCAUUGCUGAAGAUAUUGAAAAUGAUCUCCUAGCAAGUCUUGUCUUAAAUGGAGUGGCUACAGCAACCAAGGUGAACUUAUACUUGACAGUGUUUUGCUGUUAAGAGAUGGCCUACUUGAAGAAUCUUCUAUCAUUCAAUUAUUCAUUUAAUUUUACAAAGUGAAGUUUCAUAUGUCUUCUCAUUUUUUGUGGGUUCUGAAUUGCUUGAAGGCUUGUGUCAUAAAACCUCCUGGAUUUGGAGAAAGUAGGAAGGCUAGCCUUCGGGACAUUGCCAAAUUCACAUAUGGGAAGGUUGGUUCAUUUGAUAAAUGCUCCACCUUGCUUUGCAUGAUUAUUAUGUGAUUUACAAAACAAUGUGUUCCUUUCUUUCUCUUUUAGGUCAUGACAGGAAAAGAUUUUGAAUGCGUAUCUCUUGGCCAUGCUGAGAAGGUGAGAGAUAUCAGAUAUCAGUGACUGGUAUAUAAUUUUCUUUGGUGUGAAAAAAAGAUUUAUUUUACCUAAGUAGAGCACAUCAUGAGAACGUUCUUCUCAUCCUUGUUUCUGGUGGACUUUAAUCCUUUCUUCUGGUACAACUUUGGCAUAGUAAUAUAUUAAUUUUCAUUUCCUUGUGUAUAUUGACAAGAGAGACGAGGUUUUGCUCAAACAAUGUCUUAGCCCUCUUUUAUCAUUGUAGAUAACGGUAUCAAAGGAUCAGACGGUUAUCCUUCUUUGUAAGGCUUGCAUAGGACACGAAAAGGUCUGUGUUGUGACAUUUCACAUGAUUUUCCAACAAGUUAUCAGAAUUUUCAAUUGUGUUUAUAAUUUGAAGCGACUCUGCUUUUCAGUUUAUACUGUUUGGCUCUUUUGUGCUUCUUUGGGCUGUUUCUAUAUUUUUGGACAACUUGCUUACCCUUUCGCUAAUUUUCUUUUCUUAAAUAUGUCUGUUGCAGUUGUUACAGUGGAGAUUCACAAUGGAAAAUUUACAAGAUUUCCCUGAAGAGAGCUGUACAAAGCACUCUUAUCUCGCUGCUGUUAUAAAGGUUUGGUUAUUUGGAAUUGUAAAUUAGUUCUUCAAGAGCUUUGAAACUGACUUGUGCUGGGCAUAGAAUGAAAGUUCUCAGCCUAACAUGACCUAUUAGCACGAUCCAUUUGGGCCAAGUCAUGACCAGGUCUAAACUCUAAAUCCUGGUUGGCCAGCCAAGAAAUUUGAAUUUUCUUUUAUCUGCUAUUAAAAAAGUUGAAUAAACUCAUUUAUAGGGAGGAUCAAUGAUCAGGUCAUUUUGGAUAAAAUGAUUUAAUUAAUUGACUAAUUCUUUGGAUUCAUAUUACAUUCCCAUCUUCAUAUGAUUAUAAUUGAAGUAUAGAGUAGACUGAUACCGUACAAAUACUUUGAUACUUUAAAAUGGGAAAAAGAGAAGAAAAACAGUACCAAACAGUCAAUUAGACAUUAUAAUAUAUGUGAAGUUUUGGAACUGGAUUUUGGUAGAAGUAUAUAUUCCUUGCUAAUAGGAACGUGCCAAAGAUGAAUUCAAUUUGCUUGUUUGGUUACAGUAAUUGCAUUUAGAAGACAUGACUGCAUCUUAUUCUGUUGUUGCAUCAUGCUAUAAAUGAAAUUUGGCUCGUUGAGAUGAAAGAUUGUUGAAUUAGAGAUGUUAGGUAAGGAAGUAUUCUGAUUUGAAAUGAAACGGGUGCUGUUGUUGUAAGGUCUGUGGAAGUAAUAAAGCUGAAGUGCGUGAAAAGAAGGAUAGAGUUGCUAAUGCCAUAAAUGCUGUCAAGGCUGCAAAGGAAGGAGUUGGUAAACCUCUUAUAUUUUUGGCUUUUGUUGGUCUAUCUUGUUUGAUUGAUGCAUGACAUACAAAUGUUAUAUGUAUUCUGAUGCAUUUGCAGUUAGUGUCAUGUCACUUUUAUAUGCCUGCAAGGAGUUGGAUAAAUUGCAAACUGCUAACCAUGGUCAGAAGAUUGGUGUUCAAGCUAUCCAAUAUGCUCUUGAGGUUUUCUUUAUUCUUCUUUUUAAUUAUGUAUGUGAUAUUUCUAAAAGCUCUUAUUGUCUAUCUGUCUAAAGGCAGAGGGCUGCUAAGAUUAUUCCUCGUUGAAAGGUGAAAAGUGACAUAUACUUCACAAAAUGCAUGCGUGGUUUUCGUUAUGGGGCAUGAGCCUUAUCUUUUAUGUAUCUCAAGAGUGAAUCAUGGUAGAGAAUAUUGGUAACAAAAUGUCUAGUUUUUCAGAGCCUUCUGAUUGGUUGAGCCUGCAUCUGCAGAUGCUGGUGAGCGCGAUUGCUUAUAGCGCUGGAGUUGAUGGGUCAGUUGUUAGCAAGCUACUCGAGGGAUCCAAGCCUAAACCCCUCGGUAAAGGUUUGCGUCUGUUUCCCCCUUUUUCGAAUAAUGGAAAUUUGAAAAGGAAACGAGUGAAAUUCGAGGGUUGGGAAUUAAGGUGAGGGUACUUUGAUCUACAUUUGUGUCAGGUGAAAAUGCAGAUAUGCUUAUGCCAGAAAUUGUUUUUCCAUUGAAAACCAUAAGAGCAGUCUUGGUGGAGGCUACAAGGUAACUAGUUAUUUAAAACCUUUAAGCUUAUGCUAAUUUUUUAUCUAAGCACAUAUUAAUUCUUUCUUCUUGUGUAGUGAGAUGUUAGCAAGACUUUGAAAUUGAGGCUCUUAAGGUGGCUCAGCUUGUCUUUCCAAGAAUAUUUGCAAAGAAAGUUCCAGCUGAUACAAGCCUCCAGAGUAAAACAAAGGCGUAAUGGAGGCUUCUAUCAGCUUUCACUGGGUGCUGUUAUGGUUACGGUGAUUUAUAAUCCAAAUUCUCAUGGCACAUUAUAUUUAUUUAUUAUUUGUUUGAAAAGCAUACAUUAAGCUUUUUCAUAAACUAUACACGAACAAGAAACGGAAUAUAUUGGUCAUCAGGAGUUGCGCCUUAGAUAAAUAAUACAUGGAUGCUCCAACUUCUUAUAUGCAGUUUAUUUUUUUUCUUUUUCCCCUUAUUUUCCCUUUUCUGUUAGAAGCAAAAAUAUUCUCGACAUCCCAUUUCUAAUCUAUGUAUAUAAUAUCCCUCCAAUAAAAUGUUGCCAGAUUAUGAUUGCUAUUACCAUUAGCAAGAGGUGAGUGGUAGAUUUGUUGUUUUGUUGCAAAAUUAAUAUGUCAACUUUAUUGCAAACUUUGCCCUUGAAAUCGGAAGUCUUCUAUUUUUUUUUUAAUUUUUUGAAAAAAUAAGAAUGGUAUUUAAAUAAGAAGGGAUAUCGACGGAAUUGAACUGAUGGUGUGCUUGUUUAUCAGUCACAUUCUUGUUUAUUUUUCAGAAAAUACAAUCCAUAAUAAGAAUCAAUUUUAUAGGACCACUCAAAAUGAGAAUGUGGAAUAAAAAUCUCAUUUUCUAAACUGGUCUUUUUUUUUUACCCUUACUGAUAUUGAAAUUCAAAAAUUUCUUUUUCACCCCCAUAUAAAUACAUAAAAAAAAUCAAUUACUUCAAUAAUUUUAUUAUUUAAAAUUAACAUUUAUAAAAAAUUAUUAUAAAAGAAUUUUUUUUUUCUGGAAAACUAGUUUAGCGUAAUAUUAUUAAGAAAUAUACAUACAUUUUAGUUUUAUUAGUUUAGCUCAAUUUUGCUUUUUUUUUUUUUGGAAGUCAGUGUUUUAUAUUUAUUUUAGUGCAUGUAAUAUGUAAAAAUAACUUGAUUUUACCUAUUUUGAUAAAUUUACGUUAUUUUGGAUUUAAAUAUAAAAGGUAUUAAAACUCCAUUUAUAUCAGUUUUUUUAAUUAUUAAUAAUGUUCUCUUUGAGAAGGAUAUAAGUCUUCCAUCACUUUCAUUUUGUGUCACAUUAUAAUUUGUGAUACAUUUGGCAACUCGCAUUACAUUGUAUUGCAAUUGCAUUAAAACACUACUCUUAUGCUAACUCAUGCUUGGUUAAAAUUUUUAGUUGCAUUGCACUACAUUUAAAAGUUGGCUAAUAUAAGAAAAGGUGUAUAAAAUAGAUUCGCAGGGGAGACGGUGGUAGGGUUUCAGCUGUAUUAUAUUCAAACAUUGUUUAUAUUUUAAUUAUAAUCAUAUAACUUUUAUUAUUUAAUGAAUUAUAGGAAAUUUAAAUUUAUUAUAUAUUAAUUUAUAUUUAAAUAAAAAUUUAAUUUAAUUAAUAAUAAAAGAUAGUAACACACCUAAAUAUUUAAUAAUAAAUAAUUAUACAUUAUUUUAUUUCAUUAAAUAUAAUCAUUUUAAUUAUUUACUUUAAAUAUGAAAAAAGUAUUUUAAUUUUAUUUUAUCAUUUAUUAUUCAAUAAAAAUUAAUUUAUAACUUAAUAUCAUAUUGUUUUAUAAAUAUAAUAUAAUUUAAUUUAAUUUAUAUUAUGUAAUUAUAUAGUAUUAUACUUUUAAAUAUAAUAUUAAAUUUUACUACAUUAUAAUAUGAUUAUACUAUAUUCCAAUAACUAAUAUAUAGAGAUAAAUUAGAUUAUAAUAUAAUAUUAUUAAUAUUAUAACAUAGUAUUGUAGUGUUUUAUUAUUUAAUCAUAGUAUAUGAUUAAAUCAUGUUUAUUAUAAAAUUAAUAUAUAAAAAUAAUUAUUUAAUACUUAAUUUCAAUAAUUAAUAAUGGAAUCCUAAAAUAUUAAUAAAUUUAAAUAAUAUUAAUUUAAUUUUGGCAUCAAUAUAAAAAUAAUAUUAUUAUCAUAAUAUUGUCUAUGUUGCGCCAAACAUAAUAUUGCAAUGUAGAUAUCCUAAUGCAAUACAUCGUAACACAAUACAAUUAAUGCAAAAAGUGUGCCAAACAAAUCCAUAAAGCACAAAAAUUAAAGAAAGUGAAAGGACAAUAAAAACAGGCAAAAAAAUAAAAACAGGUCGUAUUCUUUAGUCAAGACUCAAGGGUGGAAAUUGAUACUAUUUGCAAUUAUUAGGUGGAAAAUUGAUUUUCUUUUUCCCAAUGGAUAUAACAUUGAUGGAUGAUACAGAUUUUAUACAGUUGGCGCAAAAUUGAAUUAAUUUAAAUUUUUGUAGCAUUUUCUAUAUUGGAGUAAUAUUCAAAUCAACAGCUGAUAAUAUCUUUAAAUUUCAAUAACUUUAAUUAGCAUCAUCAACAAUCAGUUGAAAUGUUAUCAAUAUAAUUCCUCGGGAGGAAAAUUGUCGGCUAGUCUUAUUAGUCAGCACGAUUUCUUGAGUCAUUAUCACUCAGACUCACUCUUAAAUUUGAAUAUGUAAGUAGAUUUCUAAUUAAUUAAAUUGAAUAGUUGUGUUUUGUACCUGUGAUCACUUGAAUUCCACUAAUAAUUAUUAAAAGUUGAAGAGCAUCGAAUUUAUUUAUUUUUUUAAACUUGUCGAGGAUUGAAAAACAUUGUUGGAUCAUUAAUAGGAAAAUCAUUCGAAAAAACGUAGAAUGAGGAUGCAAGACAACAAGAAUAUUAAUAAGUAUGUUAAAGCCGGCUAAAUUAAGAAAAUUUUAAGUAGUUUAUGUAAAUCAUAUUUCCAUAUAUUUCUAAUAUUUUAUUGCAUAAAAAUUUCAAUAGUUUAAGUAAAGAUUUUUUCAGAACCGUAAAGAGCGUACAAAAUAAAACUUAAUGAUAAAUUAUUUGAAUCCUCAUAACUCACUUGACCCACUUUUUAGGUUAAAAAAAAGAAAAUUAUUAAAUUGCCUCUAACAUAAAAUACUAUUAUAGAAUUAAUACGUAAACUACAUGCUCUCAUCUUUGGAUCGACAAUCUCUAAAUUUGUUUAAUUUUUACGUACACAAACACACAUAGUAGUUUUCUGGUCCAGAAUUUUAAAUUGCGGGAAAAUCCAGAAAAACUUCAAAAUCGCAUAAUUUUAAAGUAUUAUGAAAUUAACACUUUAAAGCCGCAGGGUUUUAAAACUUUCUCGGACUUUCCUGUAUUUUAAAAUUCUAAAUUGGAACAUUUACAUAUAUAUAUGUGUGUGUGUGUGAGAGAGAGAGAGAGAGAGAAUCUUGGAUUUGUUAAAGUUUGGAAAAGCUAUUAAGUCACAACGCAAUGGUAUUAUACUAUUAAACUUCACAAUUUAAUGACUUUUCUACACCUUAAUAAAGUUGCUUGAAAACCUCUAGUGGAUGCCUGUAAUAACUCAAUUAAUAUGUCAUCUUGGGCACAAAAGAAGUAAAAUUCUUGCCCAAUUAGGUAUUGGAGAACUUGAAAGAUUAAACAUACCCACUUUUAUUAAUGAAAGCUCUAAAACACUCAACUUUCACAAACACUUACAAGCUUGCUUCUUUUUCUUCUUUAAAUUUGAUCUCUUAUUUUUGUGACACUGACAAUACAAAUAACAAGGAUAUUUAUAAUCCCCAAAACUCAAUACAAAUCACACAUAUAAACUAAAUAAAUUUGAUCGCCACCAUUCAUUUAUUCUUAACCACCACACUAAUCUCAACCUAACUCACUCCACUUCACCUACAACACCUAACAUAUUUUACUAAUAAUUUAGACAACAUAUUUUACUAACAAUUCACACACCUAACAUAUACUAAGACAAAUUUGUAUUCAUAACUCUACCUCUGAGACUUAUUUUACAAUGCCUAGUAGAGUUCUCAACCUAAUGAAGUCUUUUUACUUUAGCGGCUUGGUAAGAUAUCAGUAAUGUAAUCAUGUGAUAUGACAUACUUUUCUUGUACUUUCUUUCUUUCAAUGUAUUCACCUAUGAGAUGAUAGCGAGUGUCGAUAUGCAUACUUCGAUCAUGAAAAAUUGGAUUCUUGGAUAGUGCAAUUGUUGACUUUUUAUUGAUACAAAUUUUGAUUGGCUUUCUUUGCGGCAAACUCAACUCCUUCAACAAAUUUUUUAGCCAAAUUGCAUGACAAACAGAUGAUGUGGUAGCUACAUACUCAUUUUGAUAGGUGGAAAGUAUGACAAUUGGCUGCUCAUUUGACAUCCAUGUGAAAGCAGUGUCUGCCAUAAAAAACACGAAUCCUGUAAUGUUCUUUUGAUCAUUUGUAUCUCUACCCCAAUCACUAUCGUUAUAUAUAACAAGCUCGUAGUCAUUGAAGAAUGAGUAUAAGAAGCCAAAAUCAAUUGUACCUUUAAUAUAGCAAAGGAUUCUUUUUUCAACUUUAGAAUGGGUGGUCUUUAAAUUCUCCAUGUAUCGAUUCACAAGUCCAACAAUAUAAAGAAUGUAAGGUCUCGUGCAUAUCAAAUAGAGUAAGCUUACAACCAAACUUUUAAAGAAUAUUGGAUUUACACUUUUGACUUCAUCGUGUUUAGAUAGCUUGACACUAUAUACCAUUGGCGUAUUUAUGGGCUUGCAAUUAUGCAUCUUGAACUUGGUGAGUAUUUCCCAUGUAUAGUUUUCUUGGUAAAUGAAUAUGUCUUUUUCCUUUACUUUAACUUUAAUGCUAACCUAGUAUGUCAUCAAUCCAAUGUCAGUCAUUUCGAAUUCUUGGUCAUCACUCUUUUGAACUCUUUAAAUAAACUUCGAUUGCUUCCACUGAAAAUGAAAUCAUUCAUGUACAAGCAUAAAAUCAAAAUAUCUCUAUUUUUAACUUUCACGUAGAGAGCCUAUUAUUAUGGACAUUUGGUGAAGCAAUUCUCCUAAAAAUACUUAUUUAUUCUGCUAUUCCAUGCCCUUGGUGCUUGCUUUAAACCAUAAAGGGUUUUCUUAAAUCUUAGAACUUUAUCUUCUUGUCUUUUCACAAUAUAGCCCAAUGGUUAUUCAAUUUAGACUUCAUCUUCAAGAAAUCCAUUUAAGAAAGCUAACUUUACAUCCAUUUAAAAAAUCUUUCAUUUCUUUUGGACUACCAAAGAAAUGAAUAGUUUAAUAAUCUCCAAUUGGGUUACAAUAGCAAAUAACUCAUUAAAGUUGAUUCUAGCUUUUUUUACUAUAACCUUUUACAACUAGGCUUGCUUUAUGCCGUUUGAUCUCUCUUUUGACAUUUCUCUUCGUCUUGUACACCCAAUUGACACCCGAUCGCCUUGUGACCUUUGGAAAAAGUAACAAGUUCCGAAGUGUGAUUCUUCAUGAGAGCUUUGACUUCUUCAUUCAUUGUUUUUCUCUAUUUAUUAACUUAUACAACUUGUUGGAAGUUUAUUGGCUCACAAUUGGUAAAAAGGCAAAAGAAAAUAAGAUUAUCAAGUUUUUCAGUUAUCUUAUAGAAUUCUUGUAAACUUCUUGUGCAUGUCACAUCUCUUUCCUCUAAAAAUGACGUCACAUAAUGACACUAGUGGAGGUCAAGAAAAUAUGCGGUAUCUUGAUACAGGUCUUAGCAAUCACAUGAGCAGAAAAAGAAGUAUGUUCGUAAAACUAAAUGAAUCUGUAAAUGGGAACAUCGCUUUUGAGGAUGAUUCAAAAGUAUCGGUAAAGGAAAAAGGUAACAUCCUUUUCAGAACAAAAGAUGAUAGUUGUCAAAUUAAUUUUGAAAAUUUUAUUAUGUGCCCAAUAUAAAAGGCAACAUCUUCAGUUCGAAUCAGCUUUUGAAGAAAGGCUAUGACAUUUACUUAAAAGAUUAUAGUCUUAAGAUGAUAACGAAAAUCUAAUUACAAAGGUGAAAAUGUCUAAGAAAAAAUGUUUCCUUUAAAUAUUCAAAAUGGUAUUGCAAAAUGUCUCAAGGCUUGUUAAAGAUCUAAUCUGGAUUUGGCAUCUUUGAGAUGGACAUUUCAACUUUAAUGGAUUAGUGCUACUAUUAAAGAAGAAUAUUAUGAAAGGCCUACUUUCAAUCAAAAAUCCCAAUCUAGUUUGUGAAGGAUGUUUACUUGACAAGCAAUUUAGAAAGAGCUUUCCAAAAAAAUCAAGCUCAAAAGCUCAGAAGCCACUCAAGUUUAUUUAUACUGAUGUGUAUGGUCUAACCAAGCCAAGCUCACUUGGUAAAAGUAACUACUUUCUUUUCUUUAUUGAUGAUUUUUCAAGAAAAACUUGGGUGUAUUUUUUGAGGUAGAAGUCAAAAGUUUUUCAAGUAAGAGAUUACCCAAUGCGUUUUUGGCAAAAGUUGUUGUAUGUACAGUCUAUCUAUCCAACAAAUCUUCAACAAGAAGUUUAUAAGGCAAAUACCACAAGAAGUGUGGAGUGGUAAAAAGUCAUGCAUCUAUCAUCUAAGAGUUUUUCGAAGUAUAGCUCAUGUAUAUGUACAAGAAGAGAGAAAAACUAAGCUGGAUGAUAAAAGUGAGAUGUCCAUCUUCAUUGGCUAUAACAACAAUUAUAAAGGAUACAAACUGUACAAUCCAAACAACAGAAACAUCGCGAUUAGUUGAGAUGUAUUUUCUUAUAAAGAAAAAGAAUGAGAUUUUGGUAGUAAAAAUGUACAAUCUUAUUAUUCUCCUCUUGAUCAUAGUUCACUUUUUCAUCAACUCUAGUACUUUGAACUCUAUAUUUUGAAGCAUAAUGCCCAAACUUUUGACAAUUAUAGCACUGUACUUGGGAUUUGUCAUAGCUUAAUCUUGGGUUGCCUCUUCCUCAUCCAUUGGUCGAGCUUUCUCCACUUUUAUAGCUUGAGUUGUUGGUGCUGAAAUUCCAACCUCGUUUACGACUGUAGCCUUGGCCUCGUAUGUCUUUUCUCAUUGUCCGAGCUUUCUUUUCUUUUCUUUGGAUUAAUUUCUUUUCCAUCUUAAAGAGUUGUUCUCCAAUCCUUUAUUUCUUUUUGAGUUUUUCUUCAUAGACUUGCAACGUUUCAUGAAGUUGCUCGAUUGUCAUAACGUCUAAAUUUUUUGUUUCUUCAAUUGCCACAACAAUAGAGUCAAACUUCAAAUCCACCUAAUGAAGUAUCUUUUCAAUGAUCCUUACUCCUUUUAGCUCUUCACCAUUUCUUUUUAAUUCAUCAGCAAUAGUUACAACAAGAGUAAAAUAAUUCGAAAUACAUUCGAAUACCUUCAUAUGCAAGGAUUCAUAUCAUUCUCUUAAUAUUUGGAGACAAAUAUUCUAAACUUGUUUUGCCCCUUUUUAAGAGGUUUCUAACUUCUCCUGUGCUUCAUUUGAGGAGAUUGAAUUGGCAAUGUUCUCAAAAACAUUUUCAUUUAGUGAUCCAAAGAUGAGAUAUUUUGCUUUAUUUUCUUUCUUUUUUAAGUCUUUCAGAUUCUCCUUUUGCACCUCUGUUAAAGUAGCUUUAUUUUCUGGUAGAAUAAAACCUUUGUUUAAAACGUCUCAUACAUCAUGUGUACCAAUAGAGCCUUUAUUUUGAUACUAUAGUUGUCGAGUUUACUUCCCUUAAAUUGUGGAACUUGAAAGGACAGUAUGCUAAUAUUACUAUAACUCACAAAUUGAGUGAGAAUUUGAAGAUUUUGAGCAUACAAAUGAAUCCAAAAUGUCCAAAACCUUAGGACAGAUUCAUAUGAAAAUGUGAUUUUCGGUUAAUAGUCAAAGUCAACGAUCAACCACUGACUAGUCAACAGCUUGGUGUGGCCAACGGCUUACGACUCAACAGCUUAGUCAAUCGACUUGUGGCUUAAUUACUUGGCUCCGCUCUGACUCGGCUUAACUCAGUCUGACAUGACUUGACUCAGCUCAACUCAGACAACUUUUUCAAAUCAACUCAAUUUCUGGACAGAAAACUUCCUACAGUGAUUAUGGGUGUGUUAGAAUUCCGAUCAUGUUGAUUUUUGCGGCUUCAUGUUCACCUCAUUGAGAUCUUCUAUUUGAUAUGCUGCACGACUAUAUGUAGCACUGAUUACUAGUUCUGAUACCACUUUGUUGGAGAACUUGAAACAUUAAAAACACACCCUUUUAUUAAUGAAAGCUCUAAGAUACUCAAUUAUAAAUUAUUCACAAUACAAAGACUCAACUUUCGCAGACACUUAGGAGCUUUGCUUCUUCUUCUUCUUCUUCUUUAGACUUGAUCACUUACUUUUGAGAUACUAAAUAUAUUUUUCUUUUUCAUUUUAACAUUGAUGUGUAUAUUAUAUAAUAACUACAUUUUGACUAGAUUUUAAAGUUUGUUCUCUAUGUCAAGUGCGCAUACCUUUUAAAUCUCUCAUGAAUCUACCUAGAGAUAAAACCUAUUAAUGAGUGAUAAAGUAGAGUUAAAAAUUUUUAUUCCAAUUUCCUUCCUAAAGGAUGUGUCAUGUCAUGUAUCAUUCAUUGAGUAGUUGAUAAUUAUCUAUAAGAUUCAAGUGAAUUAAUUAUAUUGUCUCACCAUCCAAAUGAUAAAUACCACAUCAUUUGUGAUAAAAAUUUGGGAUCUAUACCAGUAAUGUUUAAAAGGUAAGGAGUAGGUAAAAUAUAAAUUCAUUUUCAACAAUUUAUAAAAUAUAAAUUCAUUUUCAACAAUUUAUAAAAUAUAAAUUCAUUUUUCUAAUAUUUAAACCGAAUGUUCAACCAACUUGCCAAAUAAAACUGCCUAAUAACCUUUUGGCGAUGCCUUGGGCAUUAAUAACUCAACGAAUANNNNNNNNNNNNNNNNNNNNNNNNNNNNNNNNNNNNNNNNNNNNNNNNNNNNNNNNNNNNNNNNNNNNNNNNNNNNNNNNNNNNNNNNNNNNNNNNNNNNUUUUCAAUUCAAAGAAAUGAUUCGGUCAUGAAUGAGUGCAAGCUCAUUUUGUGAAGAGUGAGGCUACUUACAUAAUAUGGGCAUACCUAACAAAAUUCCAAGAGGGGCUUUAGCUUCUUCUGUUAAAUGUGUCUCAAACUCCUUUUGAAAGAGUUAAAUAAAAAGAAUUUGAGCACAAUUUCUAUAUGAAAAAAUACUUAUAGUUUUGUGGUAAGAUUGCUAUUUAGAGGUUUUGAAGAGUUGAUUCAAAUCCCAAUAACCAUUUACUACAAAAGGAAUAUUUUUACAAAUGUGGCCACAAGAGCUCUAACAUUUAAAAUAAAUAAUUUAUUGCUAUGAUUUUUCAAAAUUUAAAAGAAAAUAAUAGAAAUUAAGUUUUUGAGACUUUCAAUGUGUUAAGUGAACAGUAAAAAAAUUAAUUAUCCCAAAUUAAAUUAAUUUUUUUUUCUCUGAGCCACCAAUAAUUUAAGUGUUUGAGUUUGCCACUGCUUGUGUUCUUAAAAUUAUUUUAAACUUUCUUAAAAUUAUUUUAAACACUUUAAUUUUAAUAAAUAAAUUUAUUACAAAAAUAUUCAUCAUGAUAAUAACUAUUAAAAGCAAUUUAUUAUCAGUUAAUAUUAUAUAAUUUCAUAAAAUCUAUUUCAUUGAAUUCGAACUAUAUAAGAAAGAGAAAAGUCAUGCCACGGACAAAUAUUGCACGAUUGAAUUUAGUUGUUUAAUCGAUUAUUGAUUACAACUAUAAUAUUAUUAUUACUUUAUUUUUCCAUGAUAUUAUAUAUGUUUUAUAGCGGUUUAAUGACAACAAUGGAUGAAAAAAUUAAUUCCACUUAAUAAGUUGAAGGAUUUGGUUUUUGGUAAUGAACAAUUUAAGGGUUGGAAAGAUGGGAUUUGGUUUUUGGUAAUGAACAAUUUAAGGGUUGGAAAGAUGGGAUUUGGUUUUUGGUUAAAGAUGGCCAAUGGGCCGGGCGACAUAGGCAUCGCAUGUGUUUGUACAACAUGGCACGACACGAGCAUAUUUAGGCAAGGCACACAGCACGGCACGCACAUGGGUCGUGUCGGGCCUAGAGUUUUAGGCAUGCGGGCCUUAUAAGUACGAUUAGAGAUGGGCUAAAACGCGGCAUGUGAAAAGGCACGUAAUAAGCACGUUUUAUUAGUGGGCUAACACACAGCUCGUGGGCCAAAGUAUAUCAAAGUAAAAAUUUUUAAUAAAAAAAUAAAUAUAAAAUAUUAUGAUUUUACAAAUAUCUGGAAAUUAAAUUUUUUAAUAUAUUUUUUUAGUAUAGGCUUUUAAAAAUUAAUUUAAGUCAUAGUUUAAACAAAUAUUCUAAUUUGUUUUAUGUUUAUAAUGUAUUAAAUGAAUAAAUUAAGGGAAAAUAUCCACUGUCCACCCGUUUUUUUCAACAUUUUCAAAAAUACACAAUUUCUUUUUUUUUUUUUACUGGAAUCCAUCUAAAGUUACAUUUUUUUUCACUUUUCCACUUCCGUUUGGAAUCCAUUAAGAAAACUAACGGAAACUUUAAAAAAUGACCAUUUUACCCCCCAAAACGAAUACCAAAAAUAAUCAAAUUAAAUCUAAAUAUUUUCCCUAUCAGUUAAUAAAUAAAUUAAUUCCACAACCAUCAAAUGUAGGUUUUUUUUUAAAUAUGUCUGUAAUUAGAAUGCUAAAUUAUAAUAAUAGUAUUAAAAAUAGCCCAAUUUCGCAAACUAUCAAUUGAAUAAUAAAUAGAGUUUUAUUAUUUAUUGAGUUAUAAUCUCUAGUGGUUAAGAUUUUUUUAUACUUCAUUAACGUACCAAUAAUGAUAUUUAUCAUUAAAUCUGAUUAUUUUUGGCAUUUUUUAAGGUGAAAUUGUAAUUUUCGUUUUGGGGGUAAAAUGGUCAUUUUUUUAAGUUUCUGUUAGUUUUCUUAACGGAUUCCAAACGGAAGUGGAAAAGUGAAAAAAAAUGUAACUUUAGGUGGAUUCCAGCAAAAAAAAAAAAAGGAAUUGUGUAUUUUUGAAAAAGUUGGAAAAAACGGGUGGACGGUGGAUAUUUUCUCAUGAAUUAAUAUCAUGAUUUUAAUAAAUAAAAUUAUAAAUAUCAUGAUUUUAUAAAUAAAAUUAUAAAUAUCAUGAUUUUAUAAAUAAAAUUAUAAAUAUCAUGAUUUUAUAAAUGAUAAAUAAAAAAUUUUACGACAUUAAUAUUUCAUUUAUGAAAUCAUAACUUAGUUAAUAGUUAAUGGAGAUAUGUUUCAUUUGUGAAUGAAAUAUUUUUCAUAUUUAUACAUAUAAAAAAAUUAUGAACGAAAUAUUUUUAUGAUAAAUGAAAAAUUAUAUUUUCAUUCAAAGGAGUUCAAGUGCAAUUAUAAUAUUAGUAAUUCAAAUAAAAUUAGGUGUAAUUGUUAUUCUAGGAUUGUAAUUUUAUUUUUCAUUAAUCAUUACUAUGAUCUAUAAAAUUAUUAUUAUUAUUAUUAUUAUUAUUAUUAGGCUGAUGGGAUUAAAAAAACACUCCAGGCACGUGGGCUUUUUUGGGGACGCUGGACAUGUGGGCUUAAAGGGAAAAAAAUGAUGUGGGCCAUGCUUGGCCCAUAUUAAAAAAAGUGGGCACGACCCACAGACCCUAGUGGGCCGAUGCUUGACGGGUUGUGGCGUGCGUUGGCCAUCAUUAGUUUUGGUAUUGAACAGCUUAAGGGUUGGAAAGAUGGAAGAAGAACAAGAAGAUCAAAAAAAAAGUUGCAGAAGAUCAUGAAUUAGUUUCAAGGGUAUAUUGGGCAUUAAGAUGGAUUUAUAAAGUAUAAUAUAAAAUUUGAAAUUUUAACAAGGGUUUAAUAAGUAAAGAGAUUUGAAUUUAAUUUGGUGGAUUCAAAUGUACUCAAGUAAACUUAAUUAUUUGACAUUAGUAUAUUAGUGCAUGGGAUAAUAAAAUUAUCAUGGUAAUUUUUAGAGUAUAAAUAGUGCUAUCCUUUUUUUAAACAGUAACUCUUGAAAUUGUCUGUUUAGUCUAUGGGAACAUGCUUGUUUGUGAAUGCCAAUUGACUUUAUAAAGGGAUAAACGGAGCAUCAUUAAUCUAUCCAAAAGAAGCGCAUAAGAUUUUUUAUAACAUUAUAUAUACGUGCUAAUAAAUGGAUGAGCACUUUGUUGACAAAUGGAUGAACGCAUUGUUAACGAGAUGAUAAGUUGUAAAUGUAGGACUUGAAAAAAAAAUCUUAAAGAAGUGUUGUGGUUAUAAUAGUCAUGAGUUUCUAAGACUUGAAAGGUUAUAGUCCGCGCACAUCUCCACUAGCUUCUCUUGGCCACCAAACUAACUAUUUGGUGCACAUGAAUUUACCAAUUGAUAAACUGUAAAAUCAGUACCGGCUAUGACUGACAUGAUCCGUCAUAAUUAUUUCUCGUCUCCGAAGAAUUAUUAGUAACUGUAAAAGGAAGUCUUCAAUGUGAAGAAUUAUUUGUGAAUAUUUGUUCUUGAGUUUGGUCCAUUGUUGUGUGAGAUGAAAUUAAAAAAAAAGGAAAAUAAGAAAAAAGAAGAACGAUGAGGAAGAAGACAGAGUUGAAAAAAAAAAGAUUUUUCUAUGAUACUGUAAGGAUUUUUACAGCAUUGAUAGUAGGAUUAAUGUGGACCAUCAGAUGUAAGAGUUUUAAUCUGAAUCAUUAAUUUAAUAUAAUAAAUAAUUAGAUAAUUAAUUAAAAUAUAACAGGUGAUCUACAGGUUGCGAGUAAACAUUAAUUUGUUAAUUUUAAAUUAAUAUUAAUUUAGAAAAAAGUCACUCACACCUCUAAGGUUUGCUUAAAUAAUCAUAUAGAUCCCUUUAAUUUCAUAAAUGGUCACACAGACUUUCUUAGUUUUAUAAAUGACUAUUAUACCUUUUGAUUAAAAUAAUCUUUUUUUAAUGAUGGAUUAAAAUAAUCUAAAUAAAUAUAAAUAUAGUAAUAAGAUAAAAAUAAUAAAUAAAUAUCAUAUGAUACAAAUAAAAUGUUAUAAUAAGUAUAGUUGAUAAAAUAACGUGUACAAUGAAAAUUUUGCUAAUAUUAAGUUAUUAUCAGUCUAUCUUGACAGAUUAACUAAAAUGUAUUAAUUCAAAAAUUUCUUUUAAGAUUGAUAUUAACGUAGACAUAAUUAAAUAAGAUAUUGUAAAAAAUAAUAUAAAUUUUAUAAAUCAUUGUGAAAUUAUUGUGAAUGUUAGGUAUAAUUAUUUAAUUUUAGUAGUAUGUCAAAAAGAUUUAAAUAUUAGUAAAAAUAAUAUGAAAAACUAAUAAUAAAAGAAUAUGAAAAAUAAAUAAUGUUAAAAUAAUUUUGUUAAUAUUGAAAAUAUUUUAUACUUAUUUAAUAUAUUAUAUUUUUUAAUUUAAGGAGUUAUGUAUGACCAUUUAAGUAAAAUUCAGAGGUGUGGGUAGUCUUUUCCCUAUUAAUUUUGUAGCCUAUUUAAAGUACUAUAUCAUUCUAUAUCAUACAUCGCACUUAAGAUGUUGAUUUUACUGAAGUGUUAUGUUAUUAAAAAUUAAACUUUGCAUUUAUAAUGUACUACAACUUUAAUGUAAAAUGUAAUAAAAAAUAUAAAGACAUUUUUGAGUAGUCAAUUUUAGCUUUCUUUUACAAAAUAGUAUUAUAAAAGACAAUUGGUAAAAUGUAAUAAAAAUGGCACGAGAAAAGGUUAGUAGAGGUGAUUUUCCUUGUAGUUAUUAAAACAUAUGAAGUAAUGGACACACACACAUAUUCAGUACUUCUAUUUACCCCUAUUUAUUAAUAGGUGGGAAAUUAAAGUCGUAAUUACCAUAAUGUAUUAUGAAUUGAUAUGUGAAAUAUAAAUAUUAACAAAAGCUAAUUUGUAGACUAAUAAAGUAAACCAUAUUUUAUGGGCACUAGAUACAUUAAUCUAAGGUCAAAUGAGAUAUAUCACAUGAUAUUUCAAACUGUAGUCCAAUUUUCAGCAUUUGCAUAUGGUUUUAUAAGCUAGUAAACCAAUAAAAUAUACCAUGAGAAAUCAAAGGCUAUUGCAUAUAUUGCACCACUGGAUAUAUAUAUAUAUAUAUAUAUAUAUAUAUACACAUAUAACUUCCAUUAAUCUUCCAUGGCCAUGCAUUAAAAUAAAAUAAUCUAACCGCACAGACUAUAUCCGAUUGAUAAAUUUUGAAAUUAUUUUGAUUACAUGAUAAUUGAAUUAUCUUAUAACACUAAGGAUAUGAAUUAAGUACUAUUUUAUCAAUUUUGAGUAUCGCAUUGAGUUUUCAAAUUAAUUAAAUGUUGAAACUCUUUCAUGUUUGGCCUGACAUUAUUACUUAAUAAAAUUACGAAAAACCAAUAAUGAAUGGUGAAGGAUAUAUAGUAAAAUAAACUUUAAAAUGUAAUUAAGUAUUCCCAUGAAUUUUGUGUAAUUAAACAAAAUAUGUUAUUUAAGUGAAAUUGUGAGAAUAUUUAAAAUUGUAGGGGUGGUCACUAAAAUUUCUCGGACUUGAGCAAACUACACGAUCCCACACGGUUUAUUUUGACAAAUACAACUUGUUAACCGCUGACUGUUGGUAGAAUAAGUUCCUAUCAACAAAACACAAUUCAAACUCAUAUUUGCAAGCAGCAAACAAUAUCUCAUCAAGGAAAAAAUUUGAGCAAACUACACGAUCCCACACGGUUUAUUUUAACAAAUACAACUUGUUAACCGCUGACUGUUGGUAGAAUAAGUUCCUAUCAACAAAACACAAUUCAAACUCAUAUUUGCAAGCAGCAAACAAUAGCUCAUCAAGGAACAAAUUUGAGUCGAGUUUUUGGUAAAUCAAUCUGAAUAAAUUUGAGUAGAGUUUUUUGUCAAUUAAUCAAGUUUUUGGGUUUUCAAAAAAUUUAUGUUCAAGGUAAAUCUGGGAGCUAUCAUUACAAGAAAGUAAUGGAUAUUGAUCAACAAAGUUAGUACUGUAUAUAUUCUUUGUAAUUUGAUAUUUAGAACUGUUAUGAUUAUUUUGUUGUUGAGUAGAGAGAUGGUUAUGUGGAGAUUUCAGCUAUGUAACUAUAUAAUGACCAAUGCUUUAAAAUCAAAUACUUGUUCGAUAAUUUGACAAAAAAAAAAAAAAACAUGUAGAAAUGUAAGAAAAAUGAGCAUGUAAUGUCUGGCAGUCGUGCUUCUAGGGGAAAGAGGCUGAAACAAAGAACUAAUACAUUUUUCAUUCAUAAAAUGUUGGGGCUUUUGUUUAGAAUAAAUUGAUGGGUGAUGGGUAAUGCGUGAUUUAUUUGCUUGUAACCAUUGUUUUUAUUGUAGUUUUUGACACAACUUAAAAGUAAUUUUUAACUCCCAAGUAUAAGAGUGUCUUGUUGUAUUAUAACUCGGUGAGUCCGAGGUCGAUCUACAGAGAAAAGAUUUAAUUAGUUUAUUUUACUUUAUCUAAAAAUUAAAAUUAAAACUUGAAUAUAAACAACUUAAUUUAAAUGAAACUAUGGAAUUGAACUAGUUAGGGUUAUGGAUCCACUCUUAGAAAUAAAUAAAACUUAAUAAAUUCUUUUUGCCAAUUUGUGUUAGAUUUAUUACUCAAAAGAUUAAUUAUACAAAUUAUUAUUAUUAUUUUCCCUUUAAUUUUAUGAUGGAUUAAGUAUUUAUUGUGCCAAAAUUUAAUUUGUCUACAAUAAGUCAAAAUACCAUUUCACCAUGCCUUAUAUUAAGAUCUUAAGAAUUUAUUGUGCCAAAUUCAUUUGUUUGUCUACAAUAAAUCAAAAUUUCAAAAUAUAAAACAUGUAUAAAAUUAAAUAGAAAAUAAUUUAAUUUAUAAAAUUAAAAAUAGAAUUUGAUUAAAUCAUAUUUAUUUCCUAAGAGUUUCACCUUCCCCCAACUAAUAUUAUUUAGUUAAGCAUAAUUAAAAUAAAAAGAAGUAGUAAAAUUGAAUUACUUAUAAUUAAAAGAAAUAAAAACAACUAAAAUUGGAAAUAAAACUAAUUUUAUUAAUGAAAAUAAUUAUACAAAAUAUUAAAAACACACCUGGAAAUCAAGAUUACAAGGAGAUGGAGAGAAUUUGAGAAGAAGAGAGUUGUAGAGAGAUGAUUAAAACAUAAAAAUGAGGCCCUAUUUAUAGAAAAAUAAAUUCAUAAUCCAGUGCUUUGCGGUCCAUCAUAAGCUUCAUGCAUGUGCUCCUCACAACCCUUAGAUCAAGAUCCAAUGGCUGGUCAAACUUCAAAAGUCAACAUCACACAUGGCAUCAUUUGACUCGUUCGAUUUGCCCAAAGAACGGUUGAGAUUUUGCGGGUUAAUGGGUGGAUCGGGUCGACCCGAAUACAAAGAUUCGGAUCCUCCAACUUGCUUCACCAACCAUUGCCACGUGGCACAAUCAUGGCCAUUGAAUCAUGAACGGUUGAGAUUUAGUCAAGAUUGCCAGUUAUCCCAUGCACUCAUAUCUAUUGUAAGCUCAUUUCAUCAUCCAAUCAGUGCUCGGUCAACAGGAAAAGUCAACUUUUUUUACACAAGCCCAAUUUUAAGCCGAUCUUGACUGAUCUUAAGGUUUUCGGACCUCCGGAAUCCAAAUUUGACCUCCGUUUAUCUGUUUGGAGCCUCGAAGUACGUGAAAUUAAUAUUUUUCCUAAUAAACACAUAAAAAUACACAAAAUUAAAUAUAUUUAAAACAUAAUUAAUAAUUCAUAAUAUAUUACAUAAACACAAAUAUAAAUUAUAACAUAAGCAUAAAAUAACAUAUUAUCGCUUGAUAAUUAAAUAAUUUUUAAUACUAAUCAAUUUUUAUUUUUGUAGUUGCUUUUUGUAGACAUGCACAGCCCCUGUUUGAUUUGAGUUUCCAGUUCUACAAAACAUUAAAUAAUAAAAUGCAUGCCUCUGUUAUGAAAUACUAUGCUUCAGUAAACAAAGGGAAGUUUGUCAAAUUCUGGAUUUCAAGUUGACGUUUUGGCACAAUCAAAAGAAUGGGGAAAGUGUUGCAAUUGCAAUUGUAUAGGUCUUAUCCAAUUUCUUUGGGAUGGGCCAAAAGAAUAGUACAGGAAAUAUCAAAGCACGUAGCAAAUUUGAGAUUGUGAGGCUAAAUGCAAUUGCAGUUUGUACCUAAUGAUUGUUUAGUUGAAUUUCUUUGUUUCCUAGUCUGGUUUGUCUUUUGUUGCUUUAUUGACUUGAUUGUAAUUGUUUCUAUUCUUGGGCUAUGAUCAUUAUUGUUUGCUGGAAAAGUAUUUCAAGUAAACUAAGUGUUUGAUUAAAAGUAUUUCAAGUAAAGUAACAACUAAAGUAACUUGUUCUGGUUUGUCUUUUUUUUUAAAUUUUUUUAAUAUCGAAUUAUUUUUCCUUCCACCAUCCAUAACAAGAUUCUAGUAAUUUUCUUAACUUCUAUGUUCUUAUUUUUCCUGUAUUGUUGUUUGACAAAGAAAUAUUUUUUUUCCUAGGUUUAAGUGUAUGAAAUU